rnacentral:lncRNA from 1 species
GCAUGAUUUUUUCUUCCUAUAAUCACUAGAAUCAACCCUAUUACUCAUGUUUAUGUAGAAUGAACUGAGACCCUGAGGGAAAAAAGCAAGACAACUAGCAACAUGGGAAAUCUUGUUAUUAAUCCUACAACUUGGUUGCAAACAUCCGCCCAAAAGUUUAUCUGGUUCAUUGCCAAAAAUAGUAAUCAAAUUACCGCAACCUGAAGAACAAAAACUGUUGUCAGAAGUUGAGUAGGAAAAGCGGGUGCCAGUUAGGUUGAGACUCAUCCCAUUGUAAUGGUUCUUUCGACAGUUGAAGUAAGUUAUUGGAUGGUUGACCUUGAUGGUGCCGUCCAAAAAAUCAAAGUCCAGUAUUUGUAGAAUCAUGUCAUUUAUGUUUAAGAAAGGAACUUUUCCCCCGUUGGCGGUUUUGUUGCAAAUUACUUCAAACCAAUCGUCAGUUUCAUAAUCUUGGUCCUUCAUUCUAAAGGGGUAGUGAAAAGUAACAUUUCCGCAGUACCAUACCUUGUCGGUGUUGACGUUGAUAGGUCCUAGUCCUGGUCUUCCACAUACUGAGGAUUUAGCAAAAAAAGGAGUAAAUCGUAAAAUCCACUAAAUAUAUGUACAGGUGAGUAAAGCUCGAUUAGAUUUGAAAAUAUAAAAAAAAUUCAAAUUUCGAGUUAAUCAAAUUGAGUUAUUCAAAUUAUUAGAGUCAAUUCAAAUAAGUAAUUUGAGUUUCAAGUUCAAAUCGAGUUGAAUUUUACAAUUAGAAUAAUUCGAAUAACAAAUUGGUGUAUAUAUCCUUUACGCCACUAUUAAGUUUGAAAAUGAGCAAAUUGGCCUCUCUCAACAAAAAUUUUAAAAAAAUUCAAAAUAAUUUUUAAAUUUCAAAAUAUUUAUAAAAAUUCCAAAAUUUAUAUAUUUUAAAAAAUUAUAAGAAAUUCUAAAAAUAUAUAAAGAAAGUUAAAAAAGUAAAAAUUUUCUAGAAUAAUAAUUUUGGGACCUAAAUAAGUUAAUUAAUGAUUCAAGUUUAUCAUACUAAAGUAUUUUUUAUUUUGCUUUGAAAAAAUUUUCAAAUAUAUAUGGUUUCAAAUUUAUGUGCUUUAACAAGGACUUAGUUAUACUGUAACAAUAUUUUAAUUUGACAUGUUUAAUUUUUAAUUUAAAUCAAAAAAUUUCACUCGAUUCGGCUAGACUCAAAUUUCAUUUCACUCGACUUAAUUCGAAAAAUUUUUGAAUUAAGUAAAGAUAAUAAAAUAGGACUUGUCAACUCGAUUAACUCAAAUAUAUAUAUAACCAAUAUGAAUCCAGCGGUGUCCUUGAUCUCCCUAAUUAAGUGAACAAAUUAGUAAACUGCACCUUUCUGCCUCUUUCAAAAGAAUUAAUAGUUUAAUUCCAUUUAAGUCCUCUAACCCUUGAAUAAAUGUAAAAAUCACAUUUUUAACUCCUCUAAAAAAUAAUAAUUUAAUUUAAUUUAAUCUCAUUUAAGCAUUAAUUCAAGUUUUUGGAAUACAAAACUUUUAGUUAUAAAUUUUUGAAAGCCAAAAAUAUUAAUAUACAAAAUGAAUGAUCCUAAAAACUUUUUUUUAGAACUUAUAUGAUUCUAAAGACUGAUUUUAAACAAUUAGCAAAAUCUAUAUAUUAACUGAAUUAAGAGAAGAAGAAUAAAAGCCAAGCAAUUGAAGUGACAGCGCGUGACUGACCUCCGUCAUCGCAAUAGGUGGAAUUCCAGUUGAGCACGGCGGGAACUUGCGUAGUUCCAUUAUUGAUGCCAGUGGGUAAUGGGUAAGCACUACGGAAAGAGUACUUGCUAAAGAUGAAAGCAGAUGCGCAUCUUUUGCUGUCAGGAUACAUGGCUGUCAUGUUGACGGUAUAGGAAGUGAGAUUUGCAGUAAUUUGAGUAAAGCAGCCAGAUUCAGAAGCAUCAUCGUCACACCUUGGCUGAAUGCAGCCGCCAAGUGAAACAGCUUCGUUACUUAAAAUAGUAGCCGAAUUUCCGCAACCUACUGACCCGAAAUAAUUCCUCUUACUUGAGAAGAAAAAUGGAGUGCCUAAGAGAUUGACCCUCCCACUAACCUUGUUUAUACUGUCACAAUUAAUGUAAGUAACCGGAUUGUUGAUGAGAAUGGCGUUUGAAUAUAAGGCUUUUCCAAGUACCUCCAGAUCGAUGCCAUUUACGUUUAUGAAUGGCUUUACCCCAUUGAGGGUUGGGUUGCAAGUCACUCUAAACCAAGGUUCCGUAUAGCAGGUGCUAUGGAUUCCAAAAGGGGAUGGAAUUGUAAUAUUUCCACAUGCUUCUUUACCACAGGCAGGUUCUUGAGAUUCUGCUGCUUGUAAUAUUGGGCACAACAUGAAGAGGAGUAGGAGGAUGAGGUAAAGCGGUAAGUGAAAACCCAUUUGCGUUGUUAUUUUGUUUGAGGGAAAUGAAUGAAGAUUUAGAUAGGGUUACUGUAGAAGUCGGGUUUUAAAGAAACAAAAGCAGGGUUAAGUAGCACCACGAGAUUGUAAAUUAUAUUUGUUAAAGUAGCACCACUACUCUUUUUCUUUUUAAAAUUACCAUCACUACUACAUGUCAAAAUAAAUUAUAAUUUUUUACAUCUAAAUUUAGUAAUAUGAUAAAAAAAUAUCUUUAUUUAUUUAAAAAAAAUUUAAAUUCGUGCUUUUAUAUAUACUACUUGUUUCAAAUUUAUAUAGGGUUCACUUCUAUAAAUAUAUUCAUUUCUACCCCACCACGUCAAUCCAACGAGCCUCUUAUCCAUUCUUAUUCGAUCAUGAAAGAGGUAAGACAAAAUAAAAAUACUCACAUUAAAUUUAGAGAAAAUCAAAUUCGAUUUAAUAACUUCCAUAUCUAAUAUUUUACGGCUAAAUUAUAUUCCUUUCCUGCCCCAAUCAAGAAAUAGGACCAACUAUUGGACAAAUGUGUUACGAAGCAAAAUUUUCUUCCGUCAAUGUGCUGUCUCAUUUUGUAUCCCUACAAUCAUUUCUUGGCAAGUGUAUUAAAAUUACUUUUAAAAUAAAAUUUGAAAGUAAAGGUUCAAAAAAUAUAUAAAAUUUAAUAAUUUCCAACACUUGUAUCAAAUUGUAGAUAUAUUAUAUAAAUUACACUUUAUAAAUGAAUAAACAAAUAAAACUCCGAACAUCACAGAUUUAAUAAUAUACUGCACAUUUCCUAAAAAAAUAAUGUACUCCACAUGUUACAAUGCAUUUAAAUGUGAUAUUUCAAAAUCUGAUACUUCUUUACCACAGGUAGGUUCUUGAGAUUCUGCUGCUUGUAAUAUUGGGCACAAGAGGAAGAGGAGUAGGAGGAUGAAGUAAAGAAAACCCAUUUGCGUUGUUAUUUGGUUUGAGGGAAAUGAAUGAAGAUUUAAAGAAAGAAAGGAUGUUUGAGUGAGAAGCAAAUGAAAAGUAUUUGGUCACACUUUCCUUGAAGUUCCAGUAUAUGUGCAUUUGAUUUGAGAAUAAUUCAUUAAUUUGUAAAGAUUGUUGGAUACAAUUUUCCAGCUGCACGUAAGAGGUCUCCAGUGAAAGAGUAGGUUACGUAUAAAGAGUUAAGAGACAAAUAAAAGGGAGAGUCGAGCCUUAUAUUCCUUCAAAUAUUUUUACAAUAGCAUUAAGAAAUAAGGAUAAUUUAUGUUCCUCCCUCCAAAACUUUUAAAUAUUUCAAAUCAUAUUGUAAAAUAGAAAGCUUGAUAUUAUAGAUUAAAUAAAAUUAUUUUUAAAAUUUUAUUAGUUAAUAUUAAUUUAAUUAUAUUAACAAGUGGAUGAAAGAAGUGAUUAAAAAAAAACUUAAUUUAAAAUGAAUAAUCAAUUUCAAUUAAGUUUAUACAAUCCUAGUUGUCUAUAAAGCUAGAUAACAAAGAGUGAGCAUUAUCCUUAAUGAGUGAUAGCAAAGGUGAUUGUUCUUUACAACAACUUGAAAAAAAAUUCCGAGGAAUGUCACUUUUGACGCUGUUCCUAUGAUUAGAGGUUUCGCAUUUUUAUUUAUAGCCAUUCAACAUAGUUAGUAUCAUAAGUCUAAGAAUUAUUUAUGUUACCGAUAUAUGUGGGUAUUUUUGACAUUUAAGUGAAAAUCUCAAUAAACUCUCAAGUGAAGUUAUAUUUUAUAAUUUUUUCUAUUUUUUAAUAAUCAUUAGUAUUUUAUUUUUUUAUAUUUUUUUUAUAAAUUUAGGUAACUUUUACAUUUUUAAAAAAUAUUUUUAAUAAUUUGACAUGUCACACCAACAUGUUUUCACAUGGUAUUUCAUAUGCCAACUUCUCAUGACUUCGGUAAAUCAUGUAAACAACAUAUAAUAUUCAAAUUAAUCAAGAAUUUUUAUUUUUUACUGAGUUCUUUUUACCAUUUAAUUGUAUAUUAAUAUUUAUUACAUUAUUAAGAAUUGGUUUUUAUGUAAUUUUUCUGACAAAAUUCAAUAAUACAUUAUAUAAGCAUAGAUAUAACUUCAUUAAAAUCUGCGAAGAGUGAAAACGUUAUUAAUUUGUCUUGUAGCGACCUAAAAAUUUUUGGCGUUGGGCGCUAGUCGAAGUAGUUAUUGAAAACUUGAAAACCGAAUCUCGAUUUUAUUUGAAAAAGGGGAGUCGCCACCGAUCUUUUUUCUAGGUGUGAUCGGACACCUAAUAAAUUCUCUUUUUUUUUAAGAAAAAUUUAUUUUUUAAAUUUUUCUUAAAAAGAGGUAAUUUUUUGUCUACGUGAAAAUCCAGAGAAAAUUAGAGUUCGGGAGUCGGUUACGUGCGAGGAAGGUAUUAGCACCCUCGCGACGCCCAAAAUUGGUAUCUCGUUAAAUGCACGUUGUCUUCACUUUCAAAAAUGCGAGUUCAAUUUAAUAUUUAAUCGUGAUCCGAUUAAAACACGAGAAAUUUUUUUUUAAAACACGAGAAUUUUGGAAACACAAAUUUUUAAAAAAACGAAAAUUUAUGAAACACGAGAUUUUUUUUUUGAAAAAACGAAAAUUUUCAAAACACCAAAAUUUUUGAAAACACAAGGAUUUUUGAAAUACGAAAAAUUUGAAAACAAGAAAAUUUUUGAAAUACGAAAAUUUUAGAAACACGAAAAUUUAUAAAAUACGAAAAUUUUUGAAACACAGAAGUUUUUAGAAAACACGAAAAAUUUUUGGGGGGGACCGAAAUUAAAUUGUAAUUUUUACAAUAGUAAAAAUAUAAUUUUUAAAAAAUUAAAUCAAAAUUUUAUCAAUUUUAGGGGGACAAAGUGUAAUUUUACCUUUACUAAUUUAAAAUAUUAAAGGGCCAAAAUGAAAAAUUUUCUAUUUUAAGAGGGCCCGGGGUCCCUAGUAGCUCCCUAGAUUCACCCCUGAAAGAAUUUUACUCAAAUAUUACUUUUAGCUCAAACAAAAUUUAACUCAAACUAUACAAUAGAUGAAAAUAUUUGUGAUUAAAGUCAACUUUUAUUAAUUUUGUACUUUGUGUUAUAAUCAAUCAAGAGGUAUAUAGGUAGAUUUAUUUAGUUCUUAAGUUGUCGAUAAAGCUAGAAGGGAGGAAUUAGCAAAAGAGUGUUAGCCCCUUGCGCAAAAUAAUGGGCAUUAUCCUUAGCGAGUGAUAGCAAAGGUGAUUGUUCUUUACAACUUGAGAAGAAAUUUCCAAGAAUGUCACUCUUGACCCUUUCUGAUGAAAGGGUUAUAAUCGUAUUAUUCGGUUGUUAAAGUAUUUGAGAGGUCUUUAUGCUAUAUAGAUCGGAUCAAAUUAGACAUUCUAUUAUUAAAUGGAUCAAUUUAGUACUUAUAUUAUUAAAAAUAAUCAAAUAAGUUUAAAUUAUAAAAGAGUUAACUUUUACUGUAUAAAAAAUGUCUUGAAUUUUUAUUCAAAAUCUAUUCUAUUUUAAACAAAAUAUUUCAUUUACAAAACCAUAAAAACUUCAAAAAUAAUUAACUCUAUUAAAAAAUAUAUGUUAAUUAUAUUUUAAUUUAGUCUUCUUUAAUUCUUUUUAAUAGUAUAAGGAUUAGAUUAAUUCAUUUAAUAGUAGAGGGACUAAUUUGGUCAAAUUCCUAUAAUAGAGAGACUCUUAGAUGCUUCAUCCAUAUAAUGCAAUAGAUAUUAAGUAAUCAAUGCAGUGUAUACAUUUCUGGCACUAUAUAUGUUUAAGAAUUUUUUACCAAUAAAAAUAUGCAUAAUUAUAUGCAAAUGUACAUAUUUUUUUAGAGAUUCACUUUAAUUGGUGUAAAAUUAAAUACAUCAGUAUAAAAUUAAAGUUGUUUUACUCCCUUUCAUAUCUCUUUGUACAGUUAAUAUUUUGACAAUCCAACCGUUUGAAUUUAAUAUUUUAUUCAUAUAAAUCAUUCAUGUCAAAUUUGAUAUAAAUUAAAAUUUUCUAACUUUUUGUUUAAUGUAAAAAAUAUUCAACCGUUGAAUAUAUAUUAAUAUAUUGAGUAUUGUAGAUCAAUAUGAUAGAAAUAUCAAAUUGGUUUAAAAAUUUACAUGCAUGACAAGUACAAAUAUAACCAUCACUACACCAAAACAGGCUUUUAGUGGCAUCUUUUGUGGCGUUUGGACGACAAACGCCGCUAAAGAUCUAGCAUUAGCGGCGCUCAGAAUAAAAUGCCGCUAAAGAUCUAGCAUUAGCGGCGCAUUAUAUAAAGCGCCACAAAAUAUCUUACCAAAACGCAGCGUACGAUCUUAAGGUAUAUUAGAAUUAGUGGCGCUUACGCAAAAACGCCGCUAAAGCUUAGUAUUAGCAGCGCAUCGUCAAAGUGUUGGAUCGUCGGCACCUCUAUGGCGCAGCGAAAAAUAAUGAUCCGGCGAUCCUAACCAGGGAUCCAUGUGUGAGGAACGAAUCGGAGUGAAAGAGGUUGCGAAAUUACCUAAUGUUUAUUCAGAGUAGACAGCAACACCUAACAACGAGUAGUCUGAUCUGCUGUCGAACCAAACCGCAAUCUAUCGUGAUCCCGGCCUCUACGUAAUCCACCUAGUUGACUACGAAUGGAAGGAAUCCCCAAAACAAUUUUGAGAGUUAUUUUUCUUUGACGGCUGCUAGACUCAAACAAAGAAAAACGGGAUUAUAUAUAUAUCCUUUUGUUUUAGGGUUUUUAAGAAUUAAAUAAAUAUAAUAAUAUUUUAAACCGAAAAUCAUAAUUACAUUAAUUAUAAUAUAAGUUCGGUAAACCAUAUAUUUAUUUGAAUUCUUAUGCUAACCAAAUUCAUGUCCUCACUAUACGUACAACAACCUUGUACAUAAUGUGCUGGAAAUUUGAUUACCGAAUUAAAUUAAUUCUAUAAUUAAUUUAAUUCAAGUGACCCCAAAAACAAUACCAACUAUGGUUUAUUCCGUUCAUUUCAACUAUAGGGUGUGACCCUGUAGGUUCUUGUAACGUUAGCAGUAACACUAGAACGAUUCUAAUGCGACGAACAAUGAGUGGCAUCUAGCAAUGCAUCAUUGCUACCUAAGUCACAAGAGAUCAUGAUUCGACAUAACCUUUUUAUGAUUAACCUUUUAUGCAAUAAUCCUUAAGUCCUUUAUCUCUGGAUUGGACACAAGUCAUGGAAUAGUCACCCUUGCAUUGUCCAUUCCAUGUUCCUUGAUAUCUUAAGCAGACUACGAUAUACAAAUAAGUAUGACAUCUAAUAUCAACUUAUUUGAGCACGGCCAUGCAUUUCUAGUCUCACUUAAUCAAGUGGCCUAAGAUAUUACUCCCAUUAUGUAGGAGGGACUUAUCCUAUAUCGACCAACCAUAUCCCUCUACAUAGAUUGUGGUAUAUCCAACAUCAGUCUUUAUAGAACAACCAGUUACGGUGCACGUUUGACUGUAUCAAAAUAUACAACUUACGAUGUUGGGAUUAUGAUGAUCUCAAGUCUGAGGAUCAUAUAAAUAUUAAUCAUUAUGAGUAAUGUCGUGACAAUUACAUAAUAAUCCAAGAAACAUACUCAUAACGGGUCAGUCCAAUAUGUUGUUCUCUAACACACAUAUUCAUGUAAUGAUUCUAACAUUCCGUAUCAAUGACAACUCUUUAUCAUCAAUCAACUACACGUUAGUCUUAAUGCAUUAUCGUUGUCCUAUCCAACAAUAAUACUUGACUAAGGAACUUUUAAGAAUAAUCAUACUAUUCUCAGGACAUUAUUAUAAAACAGUUUAUUUAUAUACACAGAAAAGAAACUGAAAUAAUAAUGGUAACACCUUAUAUUAAUAAACAUGAUAAAUCAAGUAUGUUAUUACAACCAUCUCAUGAUUGAUCUUUGGGCAUACUCUAACAAAAAGCACCGCAAAAAAGAUGAAGCCAACGACGCCGUUUUCUGAGUUUCUGGGAGUGUAGCGGCGUUUUCUGAAAAUCGUUGCUAAUGCUCUUGACUUUAGCAGCAUUUUUUGAAAAGCGUCGCAAAAAAGCUAAGGCCAACGACGCCGUUUUCUGAGUUUCUGCGCGUGUAGCGGCAUUUUUUGAAAAUCGUCGCUAAUGCUCUUUGCCUUUAGCUACGUUUUCUGAAAAGCGCCGCAAAAAACCUAAAGCCAACGACGCCGUUUUCUUUGUUUUUGGGCCUUUAGCAGCGUUUUUAUAAAAGCGCCGCUAAUGCUCCGGCCUUUAGCGGCGUUUUUGAGGAAGUGCCGCUAAUUGUAAUAAAAAACCAUUCCAAUUAUCUCUUUCUUUGAUAUAUUUUUUUGUUAUAAGAUAUAGAAUAUUUCGUUGUAUUUAUUAUAUAUUGGUCAAAUUUACAUUUAAAUGAAAACAAAUAAUAUUAAUAUGAUAAUAUGCAUGGGACAUGGCUAUAUAUAUAGCUUCCUAAAAUGAUGUGGAGGGGGCACCAAACUCUAAUAAAUUUGUAGUCCAUGCCCCAGUAGAAUAGGUUGAAACAUCUUUUUCUCUGGAUAGUGAUAUGCAAGUGAGAUGCUUAGGGGUUAGGGGUUUAGGGGUUAGACGUUAGGGUUUAAGACUUAAGGUUUAAGGGUUUAGGGGUCGGGUUAGGGUUUAGGGUCUAGAUUAAUUUUUUUAAUUUAUAUUUUAAAUAUAUUCUUAUGUAAUUGUAAAAGAGAUAAUAAUAAAUUUAAUAAACUGAAAUUAUGAGUAUAGUUGAAAUUAUGGCUUAAGAGAUAUAUAAUAUAUGUUAUAUUUAAUUAUUGACAUUCAUACCAUUUGAUAUUAUAAGAAUCUAAAAUAUUUGUUUUGUACUACAGUAAUAUUACGAUUUGGGAUUUUUGGUUUUUGAAUUUGGGGUUUAGUUUUUAAACUUAAGGGUUUGGGGUUUGGGAUUAGGGAUUAGGGUUUUGAGUUUGGGGUUUAGUGUUCGGGGUUAGGGGUUUAGGGGUUUGGGGUUUAAGGAUAAUUUAUGGUAUAAUAUUUGAUAUUGGGGUUUGGUUUAUGGUUGUUUGUAGUUUCUGGGUUACGGGUACAGUGUUACGGCUAACGGGUAACGGGUUAUGAGUUUUAGGGUUUAAAUGUGGAUAUUUUAUAAUAUAAUUCGAAUUAAAUUAAAUUUAAAUUAUCAAUUUAAUAAAUAUAUAUAUAUGAAAAAGGAUUAAAUCCGAGAAGCGUACAUUAAGGAUGGUUUCAUGUUAAAUUGAAUUCAUGAACUUUAAUGUUAAAUUGUAUUCAUGAAAACGACGUUGUUUCUAGUGGAUUUGCAUUAGAAUUAGCGGCGCUAAACAGAAAACGCAGCAAUAGAUGAAAUAAUACCGGCGUUUUUAUGAAAACGCCACAAAAUACUGAAGGAAACGGUGCCGUUUGCUUAUUACAUUUAGUGGCGUUUUACAUAAAAUGCCGCAAGUAUGUUUUCUUUGUUAAGGAAACUGCAUCGUUUUCCAUUGUUAUUAGUGGCGCUACACCCAAGACGCCGCGAAUAUAUUUUAAAAUUUACAGGAGUUUGAGUUAAACGACUGCGUUUGACCUUAUAUUUAGUGGCGCUUGAGUAUAAACGCCGCAAAAAUCCAAAUGGUGUUACGAGAAACGGCGCCGUUUACAUAGUUGCUUUUAGUGGCGCUUCUAAUAAACGCUGCAAAUAUGCAUUAUAACUUAAGGAAACUUCGUCAUUUUCCAUUGUUAUUAGUGGUGCUACACCCAAGAUGCCACAAAUAUAUUUUAAAAUUUACAGGAGUUUGAGUUAAACGACUGCUUUUGACCUUAUAUUUAGUGGCACUUGUGUAUAAACGCCGCAAAUAUCCAAAUGGUAUUACAAGAAACGGCGCCGUUUACAUAGUUGCUUUUAGUGGCGCUUCUCAUAAACGCCGCAAAGAUGCAUUAUAACUUAAGGAAACUGCGUAGUUUUCCAUUGUUAUUAGUGGCGCUUGCUUAAAAUGCCGCAACUUGGUUUUAAUUUUAGUACAAACGAUGUCGUUUUGUAUAUAUUAUUCGUGGCGUUUUUUCUAAAACGCCAAGAGGUUUUGGUUACUUGAUGGGGAAACGACUGCGUUUGGCGAUAUGUUAGUGGCGUUUUUAUAUAAACGCCGCAAAUGGGUUAAAUAUUUUGACGAAAACGGCGUCGUUUUUUUUCCAUCCUUUUGACCGAAACAAAACCAAACCCCGAUUCCCCCCCCCAAACUCUCAUCUCCCCCAAAUCACUAAAAUUUCCCCUAAUCCCUAACAGUUCCCCAAACCCAACGUAGUCCUGUACGGCGCCAUUUGCUUUACUGCAUCACAGCCUCCGUGCGUCUCCGGUACCGCAACCAUCGGUAAGUUCGGCAACUUCCUUUUUCUUCUUCAUGCGUGAAUGUUAUCUGGAAUACCGAUUUUGAACAAAAAAAUCCAUUUCGGUUGUUUCGAUAAUGUCGUGAAUUUGGGGCUUCCGAACAUUUGGUUUUUUUUUUUCAUUUUCAGAAAACGUUAUAGGUUGAGAACUUUAAAUAAAAAAUCAGUUUUAUAUAUCGACAUUUAACCAAAAAAAAAACAAUUCAAGUUACAUUUUAAUCAAAAUUAGAAAUUUCGAAAUCUUUAAAAUAAUGAACCUGAACCACAACACUGUUUUAAAUUGAUAAAUAUUUUGAGAUACCCAAAUGUUUUUGAGACUUUAAUCGAAAAGGUAAAAAAGCAAUGAUGAGUUUGAUAUGAAUUAAAGAAAAAGCAUAUAAUAUAUUUGAAGUCAAAGUUUUCAAUUCCCUGUUCAAACUUAUAAUGUUUGAUUAAUGUAGAAGACAUUAUUAUAAGUCAUGCUUGACUCAUGUAUUUCUUUGUAAUUUUAUUUAUUUAUUAUUUGACAGGGUGAACCACACCUCAUGUUCAUCUUGUUUUCCUUUGUUCAUUUUCAUUUUUAAAAAUCUUCAAAAUGGAAUUAAACCCAAAAGCUGGGGCAUGAUCUGUAAAUGUAUUAGAUAUUCAGAAUCUGAAAAUCAUUUUUAAUUUCAACCAGAAUAUUGUACACAAAAUACAUGCAGAACAUUGGCACAUGUUAUCUGCAUAUGUUACCUUAUUUGAAGGAAUAAACUAAACCCAAUUUGCAAUUCAAGAGGCCAAAAAGCUAAUCUCUAACGUGAAUUCAAUCUCUAAUUAAUUUCUCAAAAUCUGCUUUAUUUAUCUGUCGUCUGCAGUUAAUCUAAUUUAACAUUCUUAUAUGUCGAUGUGGUAUAUAUCUAGAAUAGUCAACAUUGGUUAGCAUUCAGCAAAAGGAUGCCCCGAGGGACUUGACGAAGGGAAUUUUAACUUUGAAUGUGAAUUAGUCAACCAUAUAAAAUAUAUUUUGUUUUCCUAUCGGUCAGGCUCUUGAGUUUUUUCAGUCAUCUUUAGCUAAGAUAUUGUGGAAAACAAGGGAAAUUAAAUAACUUUUAAGUAUGCAGGAAAAGUUUACCACAAUCCUCCUAUUUGUGACCGUCACUACUCACUACAUGAGUUUUAAAAUAACAUUAAUUCCAUGAUUUCUUUGACCAUUUUACCAUAUAUUUUCCGCUACCUCUAUUUCCUUUGUCCUACCGUUCAACAUGUUCUGUUUCUACUCCUUAACAAUGAGUCUCUUUCUCUUUACUCAUCCUCUUCUUUUGGUGCUUCAACUAUUCCUCCCUAUCUUCAUCUUAGGACUCUUUGCCCUUAUUGGAUGAACAUUUGCUGCCUGUGUUUUGGCCGAACAAUUGUUUGGGCAGGUACAUGUUAAAAUUUGACAGUUUUUCCCUUAUUUAUAUGCAUUUUCCCAAAUUACUUAACAAAAUAAAUGUUUCUGACUGCAGUCUCUCUUUGCUGGUGAGAGUGAAGUAGACAAAGUUGAGUGAAAUAUUAAGGUAUGUUUUAGUUCAUAACUUAAAUCAAUAAUAGUUUUAUCAUGAUGAUUUUUGAAAAAUGUUUCUUUUGGGGCUCUGGUUUUGUAUAUAUGUAAUUGGUUUUGGUUGUUUUCCUUUAGCUUAUGUUUCAUUUUACUUAUUUUACAAUUGCCAUGUACUUUUCUGACUUAUGUUUUCUGUUAUCAUCCAUCAACGAUUGCUAUAUAUGUUGAGCAAAAUAGAAGCAAUUUAAUAAAUUGUACUGGGAAUUGGAUUAAAUUUUUUUAUUUUAAAAUUAUUCGAAAUUUCUUAACUAUAUGUUACAUUAAAUAACAAAUUAAUCCACUUUCUUUUCACAUUUAAGUUUCAUUGAUAUCAAAUAUGCUUAAUUGUUGUAUACAUAUUAUUCCAUAUCGCAAGUAAAUUAUUUUGAAAAUAAAGGUUAUUUAUGUCUAAAUAAUAUAAACAUUUGGUUAAAAGCCUGUAUAGUUUGCAAAUAUUUAUAUGUUUUCCUCCAAAAUUUUUUUUCCUUUAGUUGCUAUUUUAAUCACGGAAAUUUAGUUUGUUUUGUUUUCUUUUAUUUAAUUUGAAUCAUGGAAAAAAAUUUCAAACUUUUAAUUUAUUUUUAGGUUUAAUUUUAGAUGACUUACAGAAAUUUAGUUAAAACUUACAUAACAUACAUAAUUUAAUUCAAAGUUAUUUUUUAUUUGUUUUAAAGUUAAAAUUCACAUAACAUACAUAAAUUAAAGUUAAAAUUUCUAAACUUUUGUAAAUGGUAUAACUUACUUAAUACAAAACUUAUAUAAUAUUAAGAUCAAAUUUCAAAACUUGCAAAAUCUUACGAUCAGAUUUCAUAAUUUAUGUAUUUUAUGUAACUUACAUAAUAUAUAACUUACAUAGCUUAAGUAACAGUAAUUUCAGAUCUACUUUCACAACUUACAUAGAUUUUAGCAGGACACUUCAUAACUUAUAUAAUAUUAAGAUAAAAUUUCUAAUUACAUAACUUAUAUAAUAUUACAUAACUUAUAUAAUAUUAAGAUAAAAUUUCGAAUUACAUAAUUUAUAUAAUAUUAAGAUUACUUAUAUAAUAUUAAGAUAAAAUUGAUAAUUACAUAACUCGUUUAAUAUUAAGAUAACUUAUAUAAUAUUAAGAUAAAAUUUCUAAUUACAUAACUCGUUUAAUAUUAAUUUCUAAUUUGUAAGUACACAUCAAUUUCUCAUUUGAUAACUUAUACAAUAUUAAGAUAAAAUUUCGAAUUACAUAACUUAUAUAAUAUUAAGAUUAAUUAUAUAAUAUUAAGAUCAAAUUUCUAAUUACAUAACUCGUUUAAUAUUAAGAUAACUUAUAUAAUAUUAAGAUAAAAUUUCUAAUUACAUAACUCGUUUAAUAUUAAUUUCUAAUUUGUAAGUACACAUCAAUUUCUCAUUUUAGGUAACUUAUACAAUAUUAAGAUAAAAUUUCGAAUUACAUAACUUAUAUAAUAUUAAGAUUACUUAUAUAAUAUUAAGAUCAAAUUUCUAAUUACAUAACUUAUAUAAUAUUAAGAUUACUUAUAUAAUAUUAAGAUAAAAUUUCUAAUUACAUAACUCGAUUAAUAUUAAGAUAACUUAUAUAAUAUUAAGAUAAAAUUUCUAAUUCCGUAACCUAAUAUAUAAAUUACAUAACUUACAUAACUUACAUAAAUUAAAUAACUUACAUAACUUAAAUAACUUACAUAAUACGUAACCUUCCUAACUUACAUUAUUUAGAUAAUACAUAGCCUACAUAACUUACAAAACUUACAUAAAUUAAAUAACUUCCAUAACUUACAUAACUCACAUAAUACACAACUUACAUAACUUACAUAAAACAUAACUUAUUACAUAACUUACAUAAUACAUAAAAAUAUAUCAUAUCAUAAGUUACAUAACUCAUUUAUAGUUAUAUCUGGCAUUUUAACUUACCCGUGCAAAUUAUUGUCAACGUGACUUCAAUAAUUUAGAAAUGGACCGGUCUUGGAUGAAUUUGUCAAGGGUAAGCAACGGCUAUCGAAAUGGAGUACAGACGUUUCUAAAUUUUGCAUUUCAAUACGCAAGCCAAGAGAACAUGAUUCUUUGCCCCUGUAAGAAUUGUGUCAACAUAAACUGGCAUUAUCGUGAGGUUGUAUAUGAGUAUCUAAUUGUUGAUGGGUUUGUUCGGGGUUAUAAACAAUGGUUAUUUCAUGGAGAAUGCCCGCAUAGUACUUCCUCUUCAAUGAUGGAUGUAACUUAUCCUGAUACUGCUUACCAUCAGUCUGAUAGAGGGGAUGACAUGGAAGGGAUGUUGCGGGAUGCAUUUAAUAUGCACAAUCAUGGUGUCCAGUUUUCCUAGCUGACUUGUGGCAUCUGAUGAUUGUAAUCUCGGUGGAAAUGCUUUUACCGAACCGGGAAGAAGUGUUCCUCAUGAAGAGCCGAAUGGAGAAGCGAAAAAGUUCUACGCGCUACUUAAUGACAUGAAUGAAGAACUGUAUGAGGGAUCAAAAUCCUCAAAAAUGUCUUUUUGUAUUCAUCUUUUUCAGUUAAAAUGUUUGGGAGGGUGGACCGGGAACUCUUUGACAAUGCUGUUAGAGUUUUUGAGAGAAAUGUUUCCGUUUGCAAAAAUCCCUCAGUCGUGCAAAGAUAUGAAGAAAAUGAUUAAAGAUUUAGGCCUUGGGUAUAACAAAAUCCAUAGUUGCCCAAAUGACUGCAUGUUGUAUUGGGGCGAUCGGAGAAACCAACAGUGCUGUCAUGUAUACGGCCACUCCCAUUGGAUAAGUAGAAACACAGAAGAUGGGAACGGCGAUGAAAAUGAUGCACAAUCAAGGAAGAAGCCAGUCAAGAUUUUGCGGUAUUUUUCGUUGAUACUAAGGCUUCAAAGGCUUUUCAUGUCGUCAAAGACAGCAGAGUCAAAGACGUGGCACCAUGAUGGACGAACCGAUGAUGGAUUACUAAAGCAUCCGGCAGAUUCUUUAGCUUGGAAAUCAUUUGACAAUAAAUUUCCAAGCUUUGCAAGCGAUCCUAGGGGUGUGAGGCUUGGGCUAGCAUCUGAUGGAUUUAAUCCUUUCAAGAUCAUGAGCACUGCCUACAGUACUUGGCCAGUAGUGCUUGUUCCUUACAAUCUGCCUCCGCGGAUUUGCAUGAAGCAAUCUUCCCUUAUCUUAUCUAUGAUUAUCCCUAGAGAGAAAGGGCCCGGGAAUGAUAUCGACAUUUAUUUACAGCCACUUAUUGAAGAGUUAAAACAAUUAUGGGCAGGUGUCGAGACAUACGAUGUGCUGAGAAAGGAGAACUUUAAUUUACGUACAGCUUUGAUGUGGACCAUUAAUGACUUUCCCGCUUAUGCCAAUUUAUCCGGUUGGAGUACCAAGGGUCGUUAUGCAUGUCCUUGUUGUGCUACACAAACAUGUUCGCAAUGGUUGUACAAUGGGAAGAAGUUCUCUUACAUGGGGCAUCGUCAGUGGUUACCGAAAAAUCAUAGAUUUAGAUUUCAGAGUUCUGUAUUUGACGGUACUGAAGAGUUCGGAGAAGCUCAUUCGCAGACCAGUGGCUCUGACAUCUUGUUCAUGUUGGAAGAUAUGAAUUUCAUUUAUGGGAAGAUGAACUAACCGCCAAACACAGAAAGAAAUAGAAGAUCAAAUGAUGAAGCUGAGGAUGACUCUAAUGAAGAGGACAAUCCUAAUGAAGGGGACUUGUGGAAAAAAAGAAGUAUUUUUUUGAGUUGCCUUAUUGGGAGCAUCACCUUUUACGACACAAUCUUGAUGUUAUGCACAUUGAGAAAAAUGUCUGCGAGAACAUUGUGGGUAUAAUUUUGAAUGUCGACGGAAAAUCAAAAGACAAUCUUCAGAGUCAACUUGAUUUAGUCCAAAUGGGAAUCCGACCUGAUCUUCAUCCCAAUCCACUUCCGAAUGGGAAAUAUCGCUUGCCGCCUUCUAUUUUGUCAAUGUCGAAGACGAAAAAAGAAGUGUUCUUCACGGUGUUGAAGGAUAUAAAGGUUCCAGAUGCGUAUGCAUCAAAUAUAUCUCGAUGUGUUACUGUUAAAGAUCGAAGAUUAUAUUCGCUAAAAUCACAUGACUAUCACAUCUUGAUGCAAGAUUUACUGCCAGUUGUUCUACGAUGUUGUAUGUCCAAGAAGGUGACAUCUUGUAUAAUUGAACUAUCCAAUAUAAUGAAAGCCAUUUGUGGCAAAGUUUUGGAUGUUCAAGAACUUCAGAAGGUACAGGAUCAAGCCGCUUUAACUUUAUGCAACAUGGAAAAAUUCUUCCCACCUUCCUUCUUCACCAUUAUGGUUCACUUGAUAAUCCAUCUCCCGUAUGAAGCAAUUCUUGGCGGACCCGUUUUCUAUCGAUGGAUGUAUCCCAUAGAAAGGUGUUAAUUAAAAUUUUUAAAAUUUUCCUUCAUUCACCUCUAUGCCUUUAGUUACAACUUUUGAUAAUAUUGUAUAUUGUGUUUAGGUUCCUAUCCAAAUUAAAGUCUUACUGCCAAAACAAGCGAUAUCCAGAAGGAUCGAUUACUGAAGGCUACUUGGCAGAGGAAUGUAUGACCUUCUGCUCAAGAUAUUUGGAAGAUGUUGAAACAAGGUUGAAUAGACCAAAUAGGAAUGCUAGACUCACGGACCAUAACUUCGUCGAUACUUAUAUGUUCCAAAGUUUUGGAGAACCAAUGGGCAAAGUUGAAAUUACAGAAUUAGAUCAUUUAUCGUGGGUACAAACACAUCGAUAUGUUCUGUUUCACCACGAAUGAAUGGAACCUUUAUGGAAGUAAGUUCUACUAAUUUGAUAAAUAUUUAUCAAACUAAAAAUUGUUUAUCUUCUAACAAAGUGAACAUUUUUUUAACAUAGUUAGUACAAAAAAAUAUUGAGAUCUCGUUCUCGCUCCCGAAGAACACAACAUCGAGAUAUCAAUAAGUUGUUUAUAGAAUAUUUUCAUGAAUGGUUAAGCCAAACGGUAUGCAGUUGGAGCUUCCGCUUACAAAUAAUAAUGUUUUCUCAUAACAUUUUUAAUUACUCAGUUUACUUUCCAUUCAACAGGUUUGGAGUGGGAAGAACGUAAACGACGAAGUUAAAUGGCUCUCCCAAGGUCCAAAUCGAGUGGUUAAAAGAUAUAGUGUGUUCCUCAUCAACGGAUUCAGAUUUCAUACAAAAUAUCGCGAAAGGUUAAGGAGAACGCAAAAUUGUGGAAUAGUUGUUAAUUCCUCAAUUACAAGUUAUGCUAUUGCUAGGGACAAUAAUCUUGUCGAGGGAAAUGUGGAAUAUUUCAGACUUCUUACUGACAUAAUUGAGUUGGAUUACUAUGGCAAAUGGAAAGUUGUCUUAUUUCGAGGUGAUUGGGCCGAUGUUAAUACUGCUCGUGGAAUUAAGCAAGAUCAAUUUGGUUUUACAAUGGUGAACUUCGCCCGAUUGAUUCAUACAGGACAACAACUGAUAGAUGAGUCGUAUGUAUUCUUAUCUCAAGUAAAACAAGUUUUUUACUCAAAAGAUCCAACUGAUGAGGGUUGGUACGUUGUACUCCGUAACAUCCCUAGAGACUUGUUUGAUAUGGGUUGUGGAAGUAGAGAUAACAUCGACGACAGAUCAGAAACUUUACCCUUUCCAGAACAAAACUUAAACGAUAAUAUCCCUAGUACUAGUGCACAAUUUCAAUGGGUUCGUCAGGAUACGGAUGAAGAUAUUUACGAAUAAUGAUGUAGUAAGAUUUUUCGAUUAUUUAAUUAUAUGUAAUAUCAUAAUUUAAUUCUUGGUCUUAUUAUAUAUUUCAACUAUUUUAUAUGUGCUGUUAUUGUUGUAAUUAGUUAUUAAGUUUUCUACUAUUUUAUGUGUAUUGCAGAUAAAAUUCCUAGAAGAAAAAUUCUAAGGGGAAGCAUUGUUCAAAAUGAUCCAAACUCGACAGAAACAAAUAAUACUGAACAACAGACAGUAAUUGGAUCAUCGAAUGUUCCGAUUACAGCUGAGGAUCCUAUAGAAGUUCAAAGUAAUUUUACAUUUAAUUUACAUGCGUGUUGACUUAUAAUUGAUUUAUUUUUCAAAUUCUUAUAUUAUAAUAUACCAUUUGUAGCUGAAAAUGGUGGGACGCGCAGAGGUCGAGGACGUACGCUACUUAGAGAGUUAUACGAGUUAGAUCCAGUCAAGCGUGUCAAAGUUGGACGAAACAGUUUUGGUCAGCCUGUUGGAUCAAAAGCUCGAAUUUUAGCAGGAUACAUGGGCAUUUUAGCACGAAAUGCGAAUAUGUUGCCUAUCAACUACGAGUCAUGGCAUCAAAUGCCCGAUAGCAACAAAAACCAAGCCCUCGAUAAUAUUAAGGUAACUUAAGGUUAAUGUCAUCUGUAAUGCUUGGGAAAUAGUAUUAACUUGUGUUUUUUGUAGGCGAGGUUUGCUUUGGAGGUCUCGGAUGCUUAUGUAAAGAAGGCAUUAGGAAAAAGAUGGAGAGACCAUAAAAGUACUUUAAAGAAAGAUUAUUAUAAUACAAAAACAACCCUCAAAGAGAAAUUGCAAAAUGUCCCGCCGGGUAUGCUGAGGUACCAAUAGGAAGAUGCGGUUAGAUUUUGGCAUUCGAAGAAAGGCGAGGUAUGAUGUAAUUCCAAACUAUUGUAAUUAUUUUGGUUUAUAGUAUUUACUAUUUAAGUACUAAAAAUUUCAUAACGUAGGAUCGUGAACGAGUUGGAAAAAGCAGCAGGCAGAAACAAAAAUUCACUCACACAGCCAGGUCGAGAAGUUUUGCAUGUGUAGCUGAGGCGAAGGUAUUUUUAAUUUUUUAAUAUUGUCAAAUAUGUAUAACUUUCCGUUAAAUAAUAUUUUUACUACUAUAUUGUAGGAACUAUCGUCCGGUCAAAAAGUUGGACGCCUUCAACUUUUUGAAAUUACACAUAGGAAGAAAGAUGGAUCUGCUAUGAAUCCUGAAGCUAGUGAAAUUAUGGUACGUUUACUUAAUACGAUUUGUCUUAGUUUAGUUAUUUAUAGUGUUUGUUUUCUAAUGGUUUAAUUCAUUGCUUGUAAUGCGACUAUUGUUAUGUUGCGUUUGUUUUUUUAAUAUAUAUUGCGUUCCUAACUAUGUGAUUUAUUUAUUAGGAAAAACUAAAGGAUAAAAAGACGGAGUACGAAGCGAUUGCUUCUAGUGAUAGUUCUGUUCAUCUUGAAGACAUUGAGAACCAGAUUAUUACUGAAGUUUUGGGUCCUGAAAGGUAUGGUCGGGUUCGAUUUCAAGGAUCUUUUGUUAGCCCAACCCAAUAUUUUGGAUCCAGCUCGCAGCAAUACAUGGCUUCGGGGAGUCAGGCUCAAGCUGAAGUUCAGAGGUUAAAAGACUAGAUGGCUCAGAUGCAAGCGACCACAGUUGAGGUUCAAAGGAAAUAUGAAGAACUCUAGCUACAACUCAGAGGCAGCAGCGAUGGAAGCAGCGGCUGCAGUAAGGGAAGCAGAGGCUGCAGCGAGAGAAGCAGAGCAGAGCAGAAAGUACGAUGAACUCCAGCAGCAGCUUCAGACUAUGAUGAAGAUGUUUCAGUCGCAACUUCCACCGUUAUAGCGUAUUGCAUAAAUAUUUUUAUCAUUUUAACUUUUUAACAUUUUUGCAAAAAUAAUAUGAAUUCACUUUUAUUUAUUGAUAUUAAUAUUAUUUUAUUCAUUUAAUUUGAAAUAUUAUAUAAAUUUAUUGCUUUUGGCUGGUUUAGAUCUAGUUGCUUUUGAGUUGUUACUACAGGAGGGCUGAAAAAAUAAAAAAUUUUAUAUAAAAAAAUAUUCCAAAAAUAGUGGCGUUUUUUAUAAAAGCGCCGCUAAAGAAACAUUUCUUUUAGCGGCAUUUGUGAAUAAAGCGCUGCUAAAGAACCUGAUCUUUAGUGUCAUUUUUUUGAAGCGCUGCUAAAGAACAUGACUUUUAGCGGCGUUUUUUUCCAAGCGCCGUUAAAGAACAUGAUCUUUAGCGGCGUUUAUUUUUGUAAACGCUGCAAACGUUAGCGACGUUUUCGUUAGCGGCCUUUAAGCGCCGCAAAGAUCUUUAGUGGCGUUAAAAAGCGCCGCUAAAGGCCUAAAAAAAUGCCGCUAAAAACUUGUUUUGGUGUAGUGCAUAAAUUCAACAGUUGGAUUAUUAAAAUAUUAAUCGUAUAGGGGGAUACAAAAGGAUGUAAAACAACUUUCAUUUUAUACCGGUGUAAGUGGAUUACUCCCCAUAUUUUUUUAUACACUUAUUUAUAUAUAUAUCGAAAUUUUACAUACUUUAUUAAAUAUGAUUUUGUAUCUUGAAUCUUCAACUAAUUAGUAUAUUUUAGCCAUGAUAUACCUCAACCAAUAAUAACUAAAUUAUGAUAUACUAACGAUGUGAGUGAAAAAAAAACUUAUGUAACAAUUUAUUUUAAAAAAUAAUGAUAUAUAUAAAAAAAGAGUUAUUGAAAUAGUAAAGUUAUGUAAUAGCUACUAAGGUGUUUUUCUUCAAAUUUUAUUAUACUCAUUUUUCUAGAUUUUACAUAAAAUAUAAACUGAUAAAAAUACUCUCAUAAUAAUAUUUGUUCUUUUAUAAAAGUAAUAGAUUUUCAUAAUUUUUCAACUGAGUUGAGACUGAGUUGAUGGGUGACACCAAUUCAAACAACCUUUUAAAAAAUAAUAUUAAUUUAAGGUACACCCAUAAUGGGAUUGGAAAAAAUUAUGUAAUAGACAUAUUUAUUAAAAGCUUAUAUAAGAAUUAAAUGAAUUACUUGUUGAAAUGAUAAAUCUUAAAUCUUAAAAUUUUUCGUUGAAGGUUCAAAUCUCACAAUCUUAAAUUUAUUAUCGAUUUUAUAUAAAAAUUUAAAAAGAUGUGAAUACCAUUAAAAUAAUGUAAUUUAAUUUGUUAAGUAAAAAAGAUAAUAUAGAUAUAAGAAAAAAACUUCCUUAAAAAAACAUUAAAUCAUACCUUCGCAUAACGUCGAGUAAAUGCGAGUAUCCCUAUCACACACACAUAGAUGAUUAGAGCUCAACCUCGACCAGCAAUAUUCACCAUCGGAUGUACAAGAAGUAUCCGAACUAUCAUUCAAAUAGCAUUCUCCAUAUAUUGGUGUGCCCCAAUGCAAUUGUGUUGGGACAUGCGUCCUACUACUUAUAUCAGAAUCUUCUAAAUCAUAGUCAUCAGAAAUCAAGGAAGCAAAUCCGCAUGAUUUUUUCUUCCUAUAAUCACUAGAAUCAACCCUAUUAGUCAUGUUUAUGUAGAAUGAACUGAGAUCCUGAGGGAAAAAAGCAAGACAACUAGCAACAUAAGAAGUCUUGUUAUUAAUCCUACAACUUGGUUGCAAACAUCCGCCCAAAAGUUUAUCUGUUUCAUUGCCAAAAAUAGUAACCAAAUUAUCGCAACCUGAAUAAUAAAAACUGUUGUCAGAAGUUGAGUAGGAAAAGCGGGUGCCAGUUAGGUUGAGACUCAUCCCAUUAUGAUGGUUCUUUCGAGUUUCGACAGUUGAAGUAAGUUAUUGGAUGGUUGACCUUGAUGGUGCCUUUCAAAAAAUCAAAGUUCAAUAUUUGUAGAUUCGUGUCAUUUAUGUUUAAGAAAGGAACUUCUCCCCCGUUGGCGGUUUUGUUGCAAAUUACUUCAAACCAAUCGUCAAUUUCAUAAUCUUGGUCCUUCAUUCUAAAGGGGUAGUGAAAAGUAACAUUUCCGCAGGGCCAUACCUUGUAGGUGUUGACGUUGAUAGGUCCUAGUCUUGGUCUUCCGCAUACUGCGGAUUUAGCAAAAAAGGAGUCAAUCGUAAAAUCUACUAAAUAUAUGUACAUCCAAUUAGGGGUGAGUAAAGCUCGAUUAGAUUUGAAAAUAUCAAAAAAAAUUCAAAUUUCGAGUUUAUCGAAUUGAGUUAUUCAAAUUAUUAGAGUCAACUCAAAUAAGUAAUUCGAGUUUCAAGUUCAAAUCGAGUUGAAUUUUACAAUUAGAAUAAUUUGAAUAACAGAUUGGUGUAUAUAUCCUUUACGUCACUGUUAAGUUUGAAAAUGAGCAAAUUGGUCUCUCUCAACAAAAAAUUAAAAAAAUUCAAAAUAAUUUUAUAAAAUUCAAAAUAAUUUUUAAAUUUCAAAAUAUUUAUAAAAAUUCCAAAAUUUAUAUUUUUUAAAAAAUUAUAAGAAAUUCUUAAAAUAUAUAAAGAAAGUUAAAAAAUUAAAAAUUUUCUAGAAUAAUAAUUUUGGGACCUAAAUUUGUUAAUUAAUGAUUCAAGUUUAUCAUACUAAAGUAUUUUUUAUUUUGCUUUGAAAAAGUUUUCAAAUAUAUAUGGUUUCAAAUUUAUAUGCUUUAAUAAAGAAUUAGUUAUACUGUAACAAUAUUUUAAUUUGACAUGUUUAAUUUUUUAAUUUAAAUCAAAAAAAUUUACUCUAUUCGACUAGACUCAAAUUUCAUUUCACUCGACUCAAUUUGAAAAAAUUUUGAAUUGAGUUAAGAUAAUAAAAUAGUACUUGCCAACUCGUUUAACUCGAAAUUUUAUAUAUAUAUAUAUAUAAAACCGAUAUGAAUCCAGCGGUGUCCUUGAUCUCCCUAAUUAAGUGAACAAAUUAGUAAACUACACCUUUCUGCCUCUUUCAAAAGAAUUAAUAAUUUAACAUAAACACUUUAACCCUUGAAUAAAUGUAAAAAUUACAUUUUUAACUCCUCUAAAAAAUAAUAAUUUAAUUUAAUUUAAUCUCAUUUAAGUAUUAAUUCAAGUUUUUGGAAUACAAAACUUUUAGGUAUAAAUUUUUUAAAGCCAAAAAUAUUAAUAUACAAAACGAAUGAUCCUAAAAACUUUUUUUAGAACUUAUAUGAUUCUAAAUACUGAUUUUAAACCAUUAGCAAAAUCUAUAUAUUAACUGAAUUAAAAGAAGAAGAAUAAAAGCCAAGCAAUUGAAGUGACAGCGCGACUGACCUCCGUCACCGCAAUAGGUGGAAUUCAAGUUGAGCACGGCGGGAACAUGCGUAGUUCCAUUAUUGAUGCCAGUGGGUAAUGGGUAAGCACUACCGAAAGAGUACUUGCUAAAGAUGAAAGCAGAUGCGCAUCUUUUGCUGUCAGGAUACAUGGCUGUCAUGUUGACAGUAUAGGAAGUGAAAUUUGCAGUAAUUAGAGUAACGCAGCCAGAUUCAGAAGCACCAUCGUCAGACCUUAGUUGAAUGCAGCCGCCAAGUGAAUCACCUUCGUUACUUAAAAUAGUAGCCAAAUUUCCAAAACCUACUGACCCGAAAUAAUUCAUGUCACUUGAGAAGAAAAAUGGAGUGCCUGAGAGAUCCACACUCACACUAGCCUUAUUACAGUUAAUAUAAGUAACUGGAUUAUUGAUGAGAAUGGCGUCUGAAUAUAUGGAAUCAAGUAUCUCCAGAUCGAUGCCAUUUACGUUUUUGAAUGGCUUUACCCCAUUGAGGGUUGGGUUGCAAGUCACUCUAAACCAAGGUUUAGUAUAGCAGGUGCUAUGGAUUCCAAAAGGGGAUGGAAUUGUAAUAUUUCCACAUGCUUCUUUACCACAGGCAGUUUCUUGAGAUUCUGAUGCUUGUAAUGUUGGGCACAACAGGAAGAGGAGUAGGAGGAUGAAGUAAAGCGGUAAGUGAAAACCCAUUUGCGUUGUUAUUUGGUUUGAGGGAAAUCAAUGAAGAUUUAAAGAAACAAAGGAUGUUUGAGUGAGAAGCAAAUGAAAAGUAUUUGGUCACACUUUCCUUGAAGUUCCAGUAUAAGUGCAUUUGAUUUGAGAAUAAUUCAUUAAUUUGCAAAGACUGUUGGAUACAAUUUUCCAGCUACACGUAAGAGGUCUCCAUUCAAAGAAAUAAAGGGAAGAGUAGGAGGAUGAAGUAAAGCGGUAAGUGAAAACCCAUUUGCGUUGUUAUUUUGUUUGAGGGAAAUGAAUGAAGAUUUAAAGAAACAAAGGAUGUUUGAGUGAGAAGCAAAUGAAAAGUAUUUGCUCACACUUUCCUUGAAGUUCCAGUGUAAGUGCAUUUGAUUUGAGAAUAAUUCAUUAAUUUGCAAAGAUUGUUGGAUACAAUUUUCCAGCUACACGUAAGUGGUCUCCAUUCAAAGAGUAGGUUACGUAUAAAGAGUUAAGAGACAAAUAAAAGGGAGAGUCGAGCCUUAUAUUCCUUCAAAUAUUUUUACAAUAGCAUUAAGAAAUAAGGAUAAUUUAUGUUUCUCCCUUCAAAACUUUUAAAUAUUUCAAAUCAUAUUGUAAAAUAGAAAGCUUGAUACUAUAGAUUAAAUAAAAUCAUUUUUAAAAUUUUAUUAGUUAAUAUUAAUUUAAUUAUAUUAAAAGUGGAUGAAAGAAGUGAUAAAUAAACUUAAUUUAAAAUGAAGAUAUAUGUGGUUAUAAUCAAUUUUAAUUAAUUUUGUACUUUAUUUUUAUAUACAUAUAUUUAUAUUAAUUAUUAAGUUUAUACAAUCCAAGUUGUCUAUAAAGCUAGAAGGGAGGAGAUAACAAAGGGUGAGCAUUAUCCUUAAUGAGUUAUAGCAAAGGUGAUUGUUCUUUACAACAACUUGAGAAGAAAAUCCGAGGAAUGCCACUUUUGACGCUGUACAUACUCCAUGUUGCGAGAGGUAAAAAUAGUGUCCCAGCACUAGUAGUACUGCAACCUGUAUAGAUAUAAGAAACAUUGUUAAAGAUGAAUUUGAAAAUUAAAAUACAGGCUAAAAAACCAUGAAAAUUUUUCAAUAAAGUUUCAUUCAUAUUUGAUAGCCAUUCAUUUAAUGAACAAUGAGACAACCUUUUUACAUCAUUCAAUUGUUUUCAUAUUCAAUUUUUAUAAAUUUAAUGAUAAAUAACAGUUAUUGCAUCACGCAUCUAAAAGUAAAUAAAUUACUAUUUAAAUUGACAUAAAUUAAAUAAUCAUAAUGAUUCCACUUUAAAAAUAAGAAGUGUAAAUUCACCACACACCUACAAUAAAAUUACGAGUGUUUUGAAUUUGUACUUUGCGCUCGCAACAAAAUCCCAUACUAUUGUAUUCAUAACGAGGAGGGCAAGACUUAUGAAUUGAAAAAAAGAAAAGCUAUAAUCAGUUAAAGUAUUGAAUUAAAUUAUCAUUUUCUCCUUAUUCCACUCACAUCAUGGAUGUGCCUUAAAUUUGUAUUAUUUUUUAAAGAGAUAAUUGAAUUGGUGUCACCCAUCAAUUGAGCCUUGACUUAAUUGAGAAAUUAUGAAAAUCCAUUACUUUUAUAAAAAAUAAGUAUUAUUAUAAAAGUAUUUUUUUCAUUUUAUAUAAUAAGAUUACUUGAGUUUGAUCUCGAAAAAAAUUUGAAUUCGACUCGGUAAAUCAAGCUAAAUUCGAGCUUAGUAAUGCUUGACUUGAAUAGCUUGCGAGUCUUAACGAUCUUUUCAUAUUUUUAUAUUAUUAAGUUAUGAUAAUUCUCUUAAUUAUCAAGUCCAGAUCGAGUUUAAGUAGCUUGAUUAUAUAUCAAGUGAGUUCGAACAUAGAAACAAAUGUUAAAUUGAACUCAAACCAAAUAUCGAAUUCUAAAUUUUAAGUCGAACUUAACAAUAUUCAAACUAGACUAAAUUACCCCACUACCCUCUACAAGCUAAUCAGUAUAGCAAGUAUCUGCCCCCGUAAAAGGUGCAAUGCACCCCAUUUGCUCUCAUGGCAUCUUCUUCCCUAAUUCAAUGUACAGUAGAAAUUUCCAAGGAAGAUUUGCAAAGAAAGACGAUAAUCUGAACAUUAUUGACAAUUUCCUCACAAUCAAGCUAAAGUUUUCCUAUUCAGAAGCUUUUAUGGAAGAGUCAGCUCUCCUCAUCACAUACAAUCUUUAUCAUAUGUAAGUUUUAUGAUGGGAAACCACUCAGAAACCUUCUUUCAAUAAUAAUAGGAAAACAUCCAAGCAAAGUAAUGAAUGCUUUUUCACUUGUUUGCCAACUUACUUUUUUAGUUUUUAGAGACAAGCAAAACAUGAUUCAUUGUUUCUUAAACUCGUCUAAUUAGACACGGUUUACGCCAUAUAUCAUAUAUGAUAACAAAAGAAUUCUUUCUAUGUGAAAAAACAAUAGUCAAUAUAUUAAAUAGACAUUGAGUAUUAAGCACAAAUUGCAGAUUUUAGUGAGACCGAAAUGUUCUCCAGUUUCAUCAAAUGACACAAAGCUAGAGGAAUAUGACCAGUCACUACACCAGAAUAGGCUUUUAGCGGCACUUUUAGCGGCGUUUUUAACAAAAGCGCCACAAAAAAUGGAGCAUUAGCGGCGAUUUAUACCAAGCGCCGGUAAAGGUCGCGCAUCCGCGGCGAUUUCAAACAAGUGCCGCUAAAACUAGGAAAUAGCGUCGUUUUAUAUAAAGCGCCACAAAAAAACUAAAGACCAACGACGUCGUUUUUGCGAUUUUUAAACCUUUAGCGGCGUUUUUAUUUGUGAGCCACUAAUGCUCGCAUCUAUAGUAGCGUUUUUAUCUGAGCGCAGCUAAUUCCCCGAUCUUUAGGGGCGUUUCUAUAUGAACGCCGCAAUAUCUCUGGUCUUUAGCGGCGAUUUUAUUUCAGCGCCGCUAAUGCUUGCAUCUUUAGUGGCGUUUUAUUCUGAGCGCCACUAAUGCUCUUUGCAUUUAGCGGCGAUUUUGUAUAAGCAUCGGUAAUGCUCGGAUCUUUAGUGACGUUUUUAUCUAAGCGCCAGUAAUCCUCCGGCUUUUAGCGGCGUUUUUAUCUAAGCGCCGCUAAUUUAUUACCUUUAGCGGCGUUUUUCCUGAUGCGUCGCUAAUAGUAACAAAAAUCUUAUGAGUUGAAAUAAUUAAUAUUUUGUUAUUAUGUGGUACAAUUUACAUCUAAAUUAUAAUUAAAAAAUAUUAUUGAUUAAUACAAAAAGUUUUUAUUAAAGAGAAGUCGUAUAUGUAUAUAACAGCUAACUAUUUAUUACUAAUUUUCAAUCACUACAGUUGAUUUAAACUACUUUAUUACGAGACAAAAUAUAUUAAAUUAUGAAUAAAAAAUAUAAUAAAACUUAAAUUUUUGUAUUGUAAAGAAUAAAUUAAAAAUAGAAAUUAACUUUUGUAAGAGUAAUAAAUUUUGGUAGUACUGUUCGACUAAAUAAAUCAAAGGAAUUAAUAUAAAUUAAACACCAAUUUAUACAAAAUAUAUUUUAUGAUUAUAUAUAUAUUAAAGAUUUAUGGAAUUUUUUUAUGGACGGUAUUUUAAGAAGUUCGGGGUAUAGAUUUAAGGUUUAAGAUUUAAGGUUAAUUUAGGGUUAGAGGUUUAGGGGUUUGAGAUUUAGGGUUUCAACGGUCAUGUGUUAGGAUUUAAUUUAGAUUAAUAUUAGUUUUUGAUUAUUUUUUAUGGUAAAUAUAUAUGUUAUUAUAUAUUUGUAAAAUAAAUCCAGAUCAAUAAAUUUAAUAUAUUGAAGUUUAGUAUAGUUUAUAUUAUAAUUAAUAGAUAUAUAUAUAUAAUAGCCUUUACCGGCGUUUUAGUGAAAAACGCCACAAAUAUUGCAAUAUACGACGUCGUUACGCGUUAGGGAAUCAGUUUCUAUUGUGGCGUUUUAUAGAGAAGCGCCGCUAAUAGUCUUGAAACUCUGUCAGAACGGCGUCGUUUCAGUUGAAUGAUGUACUCUAUUACUGGCGUUUUUUUGGGAAAACGCCGCAAAUAUGUCAACUAUUUUGUGAAAACGUCAUCGUUUCUUUCUGUUGUUGAAAAUUUAGUGGCGUUUUUACGCAGAAACGCCGCAAAUGUGAGUUAUAAUUAAUUUAAACGGCGCCGUUUCUUUACAGGCCAUUUAACCCGUGUCCUCAUGUUUUACGAAUUUAUUAUCGAAAAAAAAUGCAUUUUAUAUACAAAAUUUUAUUAAAAAAAUUGUAUUUUAUAUAAAGAGACAAAAUUUGUUGUACCAAUUAAGUUUAUUAUAACAAAUUUUUUUUCCAUUUGUUAAGAGGACAUUUGAAGCUUCAUACGAAAUUUUGUCAAACAUAAUAUUGCUACCUUAUUUCAACUUUAUACAACUUUUUUAACUAUAUAUAUAUAACUUGUUGCUUAAUAGAUUUUCACUAUAUUUUUUAUUAUAUAUUAAAGAAUAUUUAUGGAAUAUUUUGGUCGAUGCAUGGUCGUAUUUUAAGGAGUACAGGCCGGUAUAUAUGAAUUUAAGGUUUGGUAUUUAUGGUUUAGGAGUUAGGGGCUGGGUUAUGCUUUAGGGGUUAUAGACGUGAAUUUAUGGGUUAGGGUUAAGGACAGGGUUAAUUAGGGUUUAGGGGGAUUUAAGGGUUAGAGGUUUUAGGGGUUUGGACAGGGUUUAUGGUUUCUUAAGAGGUUAAUUAAUAUUAGAUUGAUUAAAUUUGGAGGUCAAUAUAUAUGUUUUGAGAUAAAUUUAAUAUUAAGAUAAGUUUUGAGUAUAUAGGUAGAUGAUCUCUUUAUGCAUGUAGCUACAUAUAUAAAUUGAUUGGUUAAUAUGAAGAUUACAAGGUUAAUUUAUAAUUUGAGACUUGUUAAAUGAUACAAUAUAACUAAUAUAUACUAGUUAUAUAAUUAAAAACAUUUAACCCAAAUUAACGGCCAUUUGAUAUAUUUUUUGAUAUAUAUAUAUGGAUAUAUUAAUUAUAUAUAUGGAUAUAUAGAUAUAUAGAUAUUAAUUUAAGAAUUUGUAUAUAUAGGACCAAAAUAAUAUUGGUAUAAAUAAAUAAACAAAUAAAUAAGUAAGUAAUUAUUUAUUUGUUAAAUAAAUUGGUAAUUAAUUAUUUAAAUGUAAGAGAAAAAAAAUGAGAGUUUUAGCGGCGUUUCUAUAUAAAAACGCCGCAAAAGGUAUCCUUUACCGUCGUUUCAUUCAAAAAUGCCACAAAGAUUACAAUAUACGACGUCGUUACGUGUUAGGGAAUCAGUUUCUAUUGUGGCGUUUUUACACAAAGCGCCGCAAAAUUUACAUAACUUUACUUAAACGGCGUCGUUUCUUCAGAGGACAAAUUAACUCUCCUUCAGUGUCGUCCUCCAUUUACAGCAACUGGAAAUCACAGAGAAAUUAGGAGAGAACUUUUCUAAGUGUCGAAAGGGGGGAAAACUUUUCACGAAAAUACAAAGGAAAGAAACGUGCGAGCGAGUCGAUCUUGAAACAAGGUGGGCACAGCUGCGAGAUUUCUCCAUUGAAUAGGUAUGCCGUUUCUGUUCUUUUUUGAUUAAAAUUUUUGGGAUUUAGGUCAGUCUAAGUUAAUUGGGGUUUUAGGGUUUCGAUUAUAGAACAUUAAAAAUGUGGAUUUUGGGUUUUUGGUCAGUCUAAGUAAAUUUAGGGUUUCUUUCCGUGUUGCCUUAAUGCGUUGUUGCUGCUUCUUCCUCCUUCCUUAAACCCCUAUCCGACCCGAUUUGUGGAUUUCUGGUGAUAAUCCGCAAAGUCUUUUAGAAAAGCCGUACAAAUGCUUUUUGUAUGUGCUGCGAAUUAAUGUCAAAACACAGUAUUCAAUAUAGUUAAUCAUGAUUUAUUUUGAGAAAUCAUUAUUAAAAUUAUGGUGUUCGUUUUGUUUGAAUCAUCGAUUUCUUUAAUAUCCUUGCCUAUUCUGUUAUUCCAGCAUCCAUUUAAGGGGAAAUGUAUUAUUUCUUCAAUCCAUUACUGAAAUUGUUUGUUUAAUUUACUUUCAUAUUACUUUCAUAUUACUGGUUGAGUAAGUAAAUGUGUGAAUGUUGUUUGAGUAAUGCUUUUUCGGUAUUGAACUGGGUUGUUUGAUGUUAGACUUAAUUUAGGCAUACAAUAUAAUCAAUUUGGAAAAACGAUAGGUAGGCCACAUCAAUUCAGUAUUUACUGGAGAGAAUUUGUUAUGCCUAGUGUGCAUUAUCUGCGUAAUGUGAAUUCAAUUUGUAGUUAAGUUCGGUUUUGGUUAAUUUAUGAUUUAAAUAUAUCUUUAUUGUUGCUUAAUCAUGCUGUCAUAUAAGUAUAUGGUGUACUAUAUAUAUAUAUAUAUAUAUAUAUAUUGGUGAUGUUUAAUAUAUGAAAUUCGGCAUAACUUAUAAGUUAAAAUGUUUGUCAUAUGUAUUAAAACAUAUAUAAUACUUAGCUAUUUCACAUUGGUUAGGUGAUAUAUAUAUAUAUAUAUAUAUGUGUGAAAUGUAUGAUAUGCCUGAAUUUAACUAAUAAUUAAAUAUAGGUUAUGAUUUAUAGAUUGAAAUAUGCAAAGGUUGACUAGUACUUAUAACAGGUUUGCUAUUUAGAAAACAGGCUGUUAUUAGUAUUUAUAUUUGCAUUAUUUGCCUUUAAAUCUACUUUAUUUUCAAAACGUCCUUAACGAAACUGUUGCUAAUCAAAUGGGUAGCAAUUUUGACAAAAAUUGAGCCCCAUUUAAUUUGUCACCUUCUGACGUGGGGUGGAUUUUAUAAAUAUCUGCUUUAUAGCGUUGGGAAUAGAAUGAGUACCUUAUUACUUCAUCAAGCUGAUCAGUUUUGAUGAUAGGUUAUAAGCUGAUGUACGACUUAAAUGAUAUGGGUUUAAAUCAUUUAUGCAUUUAGGUUUUUUAGGGUUUUUAGUUUAGCUAACUUUGUGAGUAUCCUAUCCUGUUUUUUUUUUUAAGUUUUUUGGCUUCAAUUACUUCUGGUUUUUCGAUACUAAUGUAUUUCUGUCUUUUUGUUCCAGUAUUUGCUUCGCAAUUGAGGAAAUUUAAGGUAUUUAUUCCUAUGUUUCUCUAUUUAGUUUUCUUAUAAAAAAAAGUCAAAUUGUUAAAAAAAAAAUUUCUGUUAUUUUUUAGUUUUAUAGUUUAAUUAUUAUUUCUCAUUUUUAGAAGGGAGUUUCAAUUACCAAUUUAGCUAAAUUUCCAUUUCACUUUGCAGCUUAUUACAUUAUUUGAUGUUUAAAUUUAAGAAUUGCUAUUCGGCAAAGGCAAUUGUUUUAAACUAUUAAAAUUCGGAAUACAACUCUUAAACAACUACAUAUAUUUGAGUAAUUGAAUAAAUUAUGGGCGAAUCGUUUAAUCGGUUGAGCGUUUGCAAAUCAUCGAUUUCCGAUAUUAUGUGUUGCAAUUAUAAAUUUUACUUCAAAUUAAUGACUGAUUAUCGAUCUUAUAUUUGCAACUUGGUUUUAUGUUAAUGAUUAAUAAUCUCGGACAUACAAAUAGAUUUGUAUAUUUAUUUAUAUUUUCUACUAAAAUAAAAAAAUACUUUUUCGAAAUAUAUUUAUUUUGUAAUGGCAAUUCAAAGUAUUAUUUCUUUAAUAACAAAAAUUGUUUUCAUAAAUAUAAACAAAUUAAUUAUAUCUUGUAAUGUGAAGUCAAUGUUAAAUUUUUUUUACUGACAUAAUUUGUUCUUUGAUUUAAUAAAAGCUAUAAAACAUAUAUCAUAUCGUAACGAUAUUUGAAUUAUCCGGAGAUUAAAGCUACAAAAGUAUAUUUUAAAUGAAAUGUAUUCAAAGUUAUAUUUUAAAACAUCUUUGAUAUAUAUAUUUAUAUAAAGUUUUAAUAUAUUUAUUAAAAUUAUAUAUAUACUUGAAAAAUUUAUCAAUCAUAUCAUAAUUUACAUACAUAACACAUAGCCUACAUGACUUACUUAAUACACAACUUAAAUAAUUUAAAUAACUUACAUAAUACAUAACUUACAUUCAUAACUUACAUAAACUUAUAUGUUAAUACAUAACUUAUAUAAAAUUUUUAUAUAAACUUACAUAAUACAUAGCAUACAUAACAAAUAUAAACAAAACUUACAUAACUUAAAUAUAUUACACAACUUACAUAACCUACAUAAUACAUAACUUACAUAACUUACAUAACCUACAUAAUACAUAACUUACAUAACUUACAUAAUACACAAUAACUUACAACUUACAUAACAUACAUUAAUUUGAUAACUUACAUAAGUUACAUAAUACACAAUAACUUACAACUUACAUAACAUACAUAUUUAUGAUAACUUACAUAGCUUACUUAAUACAUGACUUACAUAACUUAUACUCGUACAUAACUUACAUAAUUUACUUAAUACAUAAAUUAUGUAACAUAUGAUAUACCUACAUAACUCAUUUAUACUUACCACUGAACAACUUACCCUUGUAAUUUCUGGUGAAAAUCAGACUUCAAGACUGUAAAAAAUGGACCGGUCUUGGAUGAAUUUGUCAAGGGUAAGCGACGGUUAUCGAAAUGGAGUACAGACAUUUCUAAAUUUUGCAUUUCAACAUGCAAGCCAAGAGAACAUGAUUCUUUGCCCGUGUAAUAAGUGUGUCAACAUAAACUGAAAUUAUCGUGAAGUUGUAUACGAGCAUCUAAUUGUUGAUGGGUUUUUUCGGGGUUAUAAACAAUGGCUUUUUCAUGGAGAAUGCCCGCGUAGUACUUCCUCUUCAAGGAUGGAUGUAUCCUAUGAUAGUACUGCUUACCAUCAGACUUUUAGAGGGGAUGACAUGGAAGGGAUGUUGCGGGAAGCAUUUAAUAUUCAUAGUCAUGGUGGACAAUCGUUCCCACCCGACUUUGUGCCAUCUGAUGAUUGUAAUCUCGGUGGAAAUGCUUUUACCGAACCCGGAAGCAGUGUACAUCAUGAAGAGCCGAAUGGAGAAGCGGCAAAGUUCUACGCGCUACUUAAUGACAUGAACGAAGAACUGUAUGAGGGAUCAAAAUUCUCAAAAUUGUCUUUCUGUAUUCGUCUUUUUCAGUUAAAAUGUUUGGGAGGGUGGACCGGGAACUCUUUGACAGUGCUGUUAGAGUUUUUGAGAGAAAUGUUUCCGUUUGCAAAAAUCCCUCAAUCAUGCAAAGAUAUGAAGAAAAUGAUAAAAGAUUUAGGUCUUGGGUACACCAAAAUUCAUAGUUGCCCAAAUGACUGCAUGUUGUAUUGGGGCGAUCGGAGAAGUCAACAAUGCUGUCAUAUAUGCGGCCAAUCACGUUGGAUAAAUAGAAACACAAAAUAUGGGAACGACGAUGAAAAUGUUGCACAACCAAGACAAAAGCCGGUUAAGAUUUUAUGAUAUUUUCCGCUGAUACCAAGGCUUCAAAGGCUUUUCAUGUCAUCGAAGACAGCGGAGUCUAUGACGUGGCACCAUGACGGACGAACCGAUGAUGGGAAGUUGAGGCAUCCGGCAGAUUCUUUAGCUUGGAAAUCAUUUGACAAUAAAUUUCCAAGCUUUGCAAGCGAUCCUAGGAGUGUGAGGCUUGGGCUAGCAUCUGAUGGAUUUAAUCCUUUCAAGAUCAUGAGUACCACGUACAGUACUUAGCCAGUUGUGCUUGUUCCUUACAAUUUGCCUCCGUGGAGUUGCAUGAAGCAAUCUUCCCUUAUUUUAUCUAUGAUUAUCCCUGGUGAGAAAGGGCCCGGGAAUGAUAUCGACAUUUAUUUACAGCCACUUAUAGAUGAGUUAAAACAGUUAUGGGCUGGUGUCGAGACAUACGAUGUGGUGAGAAAUGAGAACUUUAAUUUACGUGCAGCUUUGAUGUGGACCAUUAAUGACUUUCCCGCUUAUGCCAAUUUAUCCGGUUGGAGUACCAAGGGUCGUUACGCAUGUCCUUGUUGUGCUGCACAAACAUGUUCGCAAUGGUUAUACAAUGGGAAAAAGUUCUCUUACAUGGGGCAUCGUCGGUGGUUACCGGAAAAUCAUAGAUUUAGAUUUCAGAGUUCAGUAUUUGACGGUACCGAAGAGUUCAGAGAAGCUCCUUCGCAGACAAGUGGAUGUGAUAUCUUGUUCAUGUUGAAAGAUAUAAAUUUCAGUUAUGGAAAGAUGAACCACCCGGCGAACACGCAAAUAAAUAGAAGAUCAAAUGAUGAAGCUGAUGAUGACUCCGAUGAAGAGGAUGAUCCCAAUGAGGCAGACUUGUGGAAAAAGAGAAGUAUUUUUUUUGAGUUGCCUUAUUGGGAGCAUCAGCUUUUACGACACAAUCUUGAUGUUAUGCACAUUGAGAAAAAUGUCUGUGAGAACAUUGUCGGUACAAUUUUGAAUGUAGAUGGAAAAUCGAAAGACAAUCUUCAGAGUCGACUUGAUUUAGUCGAAAUGGGAAUUCGACCUGAUCUUCAUCCAAAUCCACUUCCUAAUGGGAAAUAUUAGUUGCCGCCUUCAAUUUUUUCAAUGUCGAGGAUAGAGAAAGAAGUGUUCUGUACGGUGUUGAAGGAUAUAAAGGUUCCUGAUGCGUAUGCAUCAAAUAUAUCUCGAUGUGUUAGUGUUAAAGAUCGAAGACUGUAUUCUCUAAAAUCACAUGACUAUCACAUCUUGAUGCAAGAUUUACUGCCAGUUGCUCUACGAUGUUGUAUGUCGAAGAAGGUGACGUCUUGUAUAAUUGAACUAUCCAAUAUAAUGAAAGACAUUUGUGGCAAAGUGCUGGAUGUUCAAGAACUUCAGAAGGUACAGGAUAGAGCCGCAUUGACUUUAUGCAACAUGGAGAAAAUCUUUCCACCUUCCUUCUUCACUAUUAUGGUUCACUUGAUAAUCCACCUCCCGGGAGAAGCAAUUCUCGGCGGACCCGUUUUGUACCGAUGGAUGUAUCCCAUAGAAAUGUGUUAAUUUAUGUUAAAAACUCUCCUUCCGUAAACCCUAUAUGCAUUUAAGUACAACUUUUCAUAACAUUAUUUCGUGUUUAGGUUCCUAUCCAAAUUAAAGUCUUACUGCCGCAACAAGCGUUAUCUAGAAGGAUCGAUUACUGAAGCCUACUUAGCAGAUGAAUGUAUGACAUUCUGUUCGCGAUACUUGGAUGAUGUCGAAACAAGGUUGAGCAGACCAAAUAGAAAUGCUGGACUCACGGAUCAUAACUUGGCCGAUACUUAUUUGUUCGAAAGUUUUGGAGAAGCAAUCGGCAAAGUGGAAAUUGCAGAAUUAGAUGGUUUUUCGUGGGUACAAGCACAUCGGUAUGUUCUGUUUCACCACGAAUCAAUGGAACCUUUACGCAAGUAAGUUCUACAAAUUUGAUAAAUAUUCAUCAAUUAAAAAUUGUUUAUAUUCUAACAAGCUGAACAUAUAUUUUAUACAUAGUGAGUACAAACAAAUACUGAGAUCUCGUGCGCGCUCCCGAAGAACACAACUUCGAGACAUCAAUAAGUUGUUCAUUGAAUCUUUCUAUGAAUGGUUAACCCAAACGGUAUGCAAUUGUAGCUUUCAUCGACAUAUAAUAAUAAUCUUCUCUCAUAACAUCGCUAAUUACUCAGUUGACUUUCCAUACAAUAGGUUUGGAGUGGGAAGAACGUGACCGACGAAGUUAAAUGGCUUUCUCAAGGUCUAGAUCGGGUGGUUAAAAGAUUUAGUGCGUUUCUCAUAAACGGCUUCAGAUUUCAUACAAAAUAUCGCGAGAGAUUGAGGAGAACGCAAAAUUCUGGAAUAGUUGUUAAUUCCUCAAUUACUAGUUAUGCUAGUGCUAGGGACAACAAUCCUGUCGAGGGAAAUGUCGAAUAUUUCAGACUUCUUACUGAUAUAAUUGAGUUGGAUUACUACGGAAAAUGGAAAGUUGUCUUAUUUCGAGGUGAUUGGGCCGAUGUUAAUACUGGUCGUGGAAUUAAGCAAGAUCAAUUUUGUUUCACAAUGGUGAAGUUCAAUCGAUUGAUUCAUACAGGACAACAAUUGAUUGAUGAGCCGUACGUAUUUUCUUCUCAAGUCAAACAAGUAUUUUACUCAAAAGAUCCAAUUGAUGAGGGUUGGUACGUUGUACUCCGUAACAUCUCUAAGGACUUGUUUGACAUAGGCAGUGGAAGUAGAGAUGGCGUUGACGACAGAACAGAAACUUUGCCAUUUCUAGAACAAAACUUAAAUGAAAACAUCCCUAGUACUAGUACACACAGUCAAUGGGUCCGCCAGGAUACGGAUGAAGAUAUUUAUGGAUUAUAAUAUAGUAAGCUUUUACGAUUAUUUAAUCAUAUGUAAUAUCAUAUCAUAAUAUUGGUCUUAAUAUAUAUUUGAACUAUUUUAAACAUAUUAUUAUUGUUGUAAUUGUAUAUUAAGUUUUCAACUAAUUAUUUUGUAUUGCAGAUAAAAUGCCUAGAAGACCCGUUCGAGCGCACCGCAUUGUUCAAGGUACUCCAAACUCGACCGAAACAAACAGCACUGAACAACAAACUGCUAUUGGAUCUUCGAAUGUUCCGGUCCCACAUGACGAACCUAUAGAAGUUGAAACUAAUUUAACUUCUAACUUACAUGUGUGUUCACUUAUUAUUUAUUUUAUCUUUUAAAUUUCUUAUAUUACAAUACUUUUAUUUUCUAGCUGAAACUGUCGGGACGCGGAGAGUUCGCGGACGUACUCUACUGAGGGAUUUAUACGAUCUAGAUCCAAUCGAGCGUGUCCAAGUAUCCAGUAAUAGCUUUGGUCAGCCUAUUGGAUCAGAAGCUCGCCUUUUAGCAGGAUACAUGGGCAUUCUAGCACGGAAUCCAAAUAUAUUGCCAAUUAACUUCGAGUCAUGGUGCAAAGUGCCCGAGAGUAACAAGAACCAAGCUCUCGAUAACAUUAAGGUAACAAAACGUGUAUGUCAUUUAUAAUACUUGGGUUUAAGUUUCGUUUACAUUUAGUUUCUAUAUAAAAACAAAACGUGUUUUUUGUAGGCGAGAUUUGCUCUAGAGGUCUCCGAUGCUUAUCUAAAGAAGGCAUUAGGAAAAAAGUGGAGAGACCAUAAGAGCACAUUAAAGAAAGAAUAUUUUAAGACAAAGACAACAGUCGAUAAGAAAUUAGAUAAUGUUCCACCGGGAAUGCUUAGGUACCAGUGGGAAGAGGUCGUUAGAUUUUGGACUUCGAAGAAAUGAGAGGUAUGUGUUACUACAAAAAUCUUGUAAUUAUUUUGGUUUAUAGUAUUUAAUAAUUAACGUACUAAUAAUUUGAUAACGUAGGAUCGUGAACGAGUUGGAACAAGUAAUAGGCAGAAACAAAAAUUCACGCACACAGCUGGGUCGAGAAGUUUUGCGUGUGUAGCUCAGGCUGAGGUAUUUUGGAUUUAUACGGUACUGGCAGAUAUUUAUUACUUUAUAUCAAAUAAUAUUUUUACUAUUGUAUUGCAGGAAGUGCUGUCGGGUCAAAAAAUUGGACGCCUUCAACUUUUUGACAUUACACAUAGGAAGAAAGAUGGAAACCCUUUGACUCCUGAAGCUGCAGAAAUUAUGGUACGUUCGCUUAAUACAAUUUGACUUGUUUUAAUUAUUUUUACUGUUCUAAUGGUUUAUUUCAUUUCUUCUAAUGAAAAUAUUGUUAAGGGAUAUUGCAUUUGUUUUUUUAAUAUAUUCCUUUCUUAACUAUGUCAUUUAAUUUUUAGGAAAAACUGAAGGACAAAAAGGCGGAGUACGAAGCGAUUGCUUCAAGUGAUAGUUCUGUUCAUAUCGACGGCAUUGAUAACCGGAUUAUCACUGAAGUUUUGGGUCCUGAAAGGUAUGGUCGGGUUCGAUGUCAACGAUCUUUUGUUAGCCCAUCCCAAUAUUUUGGAUCCAGCUCGCAACGAUACAUGCAUUCGGGGAGUCAGGCUCAAGCUGAAGUUCAAAGGUUAAGAGACCAGAUAGCUCAGAUGCAAGCGACAACAAGUGAACAAAUUACACAACUUAAAGCGGAGGCAACAUCGAGAGAAGCUGAGGUUCAAAAAAGAUAUGAAGAACUCCAGCUACAACUUAAAGCAGAUGCGGCAACGAGAGAAGCAGAGGCAGCAGCGAGAGAAGCUGAGGUUCAACGAAAGUAUGAAGAACUCCAGCGGCAGCUUAAAGCAGAUGCAGCAACGAGAGAAGCAGAGGCUGCAGUGAGGGAAUUAGAGGCUAAAACGAGGGAAGCAGAACAGCUUAAAAAGUUCGAUGAACUCCAACAGCAGCUUCAGAAUAUGAUGAAGAUGUUUCAGCAGUCGCAACCACCUUCGUCUUAGAUUAUCGUGUAAAUAUACUUCAAUUUGACUUUUACAAUUUUUGUAAGAAUAAUGUGAAUUUUAAUUUAUUUAUUGACAUUUAUUUUAAAUAUUAUAUAGAUGUAUUACUUUUGGCUGGAUUAGAUUUGGUUUAUUCUGAUUUUUUUUACAAGAGGGCUGAAAAUAUAAAAAAAAAAAUUCAAAUCUGCCAACAUUAGCGGCGUUUCCUGGAUAAGCGCCACUAAAAACACAGCCUAUUGUGGCGUUUUUUUUGCAUAAGCGCCGCGAAAGAUCCCCGUCUGUAGUGGCGUUUUUAGACUAAGCGCCGCAAAAGAACCCUAUCUAUCGUGGCGUUUCUUGCAUAAGCGCCGGAAAAGAACCUUAUCUAUCGUGGCGUUUCCUAUUGAAGCGCCGGAGAAGAACCCUAUCUAUAGUGGCGUUUCUUGUAUAAGCGCCGGAAAAGAACCCUCUCUCUAGUGGCGUUUGUUGUACAAGCGCCGCUAUAGAACCCAAGCUAUAGUGGCGUUUUUUUGUAUAAGCGCCGCUAUAGAUCACAUCUAUAGUGGCGUUUUGAGUAUAAUCGCCGGAAUAGACCCACCCUCUAUAGUUGCAUUUUUCGGAUAAGCGCCGCUAGAAAGGCCGAUCUAUAAUGGCGUUUUGUAUGUAAGCGCCGCUAAAGAGCCACAUCUAUAGUGGCGCGGCAAAAGAAACGCCGUAAUAGGUCUUCAUCUAUAGCGGCGUUUAUUAGAAGAAGCGCCGCUAUAGUUAGCGGCGCAGUCAUUAGCGGCAUUUUUUGCGGCGCUUAUAGAAGCGCCGCUAAAAGUAUUUGCGGCGCAAAGAAACGCCGCUAUAGCCCUAAAAAAGCGCCGCGAAAAGCCUGUUUUGCUGUAGUGAGUAAUACUAUUAUUAGUGAGGGAUAAAAGGCUGAUCUUAAGGUAUUUAACUGUAACCUUCUUAACUCGGCCCGUAUGUUAUGGCCGAAUUUUAAAGACUACAUUGGUCACUGAAAUAGCCUCAUAGAACCAAUUAGAUUUGAAAACGUUUUUUUACUAACUUUUAGAAAACUUAAUGCAACUGCCUUGGGAUUAUCAAAAUGCCAGAUUAUUAAGUCGAGUUAACUUAAGAGUCCAAUUUAAGAAGUGUUGUGACAUUUUGAGAUAAACUUAGUCGAUUUUUGUUUUGUUGAUUUGCCUUUUUAAAGUGAAACCAUCAGUCUUACCACUGUAUGUUUUUUAACAAAGAUUCAGGUCACCCAACUCUAACACAUAUAAAUAAAUUUUAUAAUUAUAAUUGUAAAAAUUUAUAUAACUUAUUAAUCAAAUAAAAAGUUAUAUAACAUAAUGAAAAUAAUUUUAAUUAAAUUUAUUUAAAAAUAUAAAAUUAAUUUAACAUUUUAUAAUUUUAUAAUACCACGUCAUUAGAACUAAUAUAUAUCCUCAAUAAAUUAAAAUUCACAUGUGAAAGAAGACAAUAUUAUAAACAAUUGAGCCAAUGUUUUUGGUUUCAAAAUCUUUUGUGGAAAAAUCCGCACUUCAAUGGUGAUGAGUAGCGAUUACAUACUACCUUUAAUUAAAGGAGGCAAAAGCUGAUCCGUGUAUUGAAUACUUUCCCAUUUGUUGCAACAUACUAAUACUAUAGAUAUAGAAAACAAAACGUGAUGAAUGAUGAAUGCUUUUCAACCUACUUUACUGGGAUUCCAUACUGUAUAUGUUUUUCUUUCUAUGCCAACAACAGUAGUCAAUGUGCCCUGCUUUAUUUGUGGACCUGCUGCUGUAUUUUCAUCUUAAAGUAAGAAUUAAGAGUUGUGUAAAAUGACUAACUUUACGUGUGGGGUUUUAUGAUGGGAAACCACUCAGAAACCUUCUUUCCAUAAUAAUCGGAAAACAUCCAAGCAAAGUGAUGAAUGCUUUUUCACUUGUUAGCCAACUUACAUUUUUUUUUUUAGCUUUUAGAGACAAACAAAACAUGAUUAACUGUUUGUUAGACUCGUCUGAUUAAACACGGUUUACGCCAUAUACCAUAUAUGAUAACAAAGAAAUUCUCCAAUUUGAUCCACUCUUGUGCUUUCUUUCUAUGUGAACAACAAUAGUUAAUAUAUUCAAUUUCAUGAAACUCCGAUAAAAUUACUGCAAAAGUUUAUCGAGAAUUAAAUUUUUUUAUAGCGAUUUUCAUACGGAAAAUUCUAAUUCAAGAGUUUGAGAAGUCAUUGCUGGGCUUUUGGCAGUUAAUAGGUUUUGAAUGAGCUUGUCUUAAGUUGAAAGAGAGGAGAAAUUGAGAUUUUUGGACUAAAUUGCAAAGUUGCUUCAUCUACCAUGGAUUAUUGGGCAAAACUAGUGAGAUAUUAAGGGUUCUAUUCCCGAUACAUGGAGAUAGUUCUUUCUUUCAUUUGGAUUAAGGGCUAAAUUACAAAUUUCUCCAAGAAUAGGAUCUUUCAAUAAACAAUCAACACAAGAAGGGAUUGAGCCACUUUAUUUAUUUUGGGAAAGCGAUGUGUACUCCAGUUCCAUCAGAUGACACAAAGCUAGAGGAAUACGACCAGUAAAACUAUUACUAGUGAGGGAUAGAAGGCUGAUGUUGUUCAAAAUUUAAUCUUGAAGGAUUCAACUAUAACCUUCCUAACUCGGUUCAGAUGUUAUGGUUUGGUUCCGUUGAACCAAUUAAAUUUGAAAACAUUCUUUUUAACUAACUUUUAGAAAGCUUAAUGUAACUGCCUUGGGAUUAUCAAAACGUCAUAUUAUUAAGUUAACUUAAGAGUCCAAUUUAAUAAGUGUUGUGACAUUUUGAGGUAAACUUAGUUGAUUUUUGUUUUGUUGAUUUACCUUUUUAUAAAUUUCCAAUUCCAUUAUUACGUAGUGGAAAAAGUGAAACCAUCAAUGUAUUUUCUUUAACAAAGAUUUGGGUUAUACAACUUUAACAAAUACAAAAAAAUUUAUAAUAAAAGAUAUAAAUAAAACUUAUAUAACUUAUUAAUCAAAUAAAAAGUUAUAUAUAUAUAUUUAUAUAUGUAGUCAAUUUUAUAAUAACUUAUUGAAAGUAUAUAUUAUUGGUAUGUUUCAUGUCUAUAUUACGAUCUAUGUUUGGAGUAUAUGACUACCUCUUCCAACAAUAUCGUCUUCAAGGUUUGAACACUACUCUCUCUUUCAAAUGUAAUAUACUUUACCACUACGCUCAACACUUAUUGAUAGCUUAUCAAAAAAUUUAUAUUUUUUUAUGAUGAAAACUAAUUUGAAAAUCCAUAAAACCAAUUAAUUUUCAUCAUAAAAAAUUAAAAUACAAUGUUAUUUAAAUCGAACUAUUUGGUUGAAUUAAAAAUAGGUCGAAAUUUCGAUUUAGAGGAAGGUAAAAAAAUCAGUUAACCUAUGAAUUGAACUAAAAAAAAGUUUAAUUGCUUGAAUUGUAUUUUAUAUUUAUCAAUAUUUUUAUUUUUAUAGUUUUUUAAUAAUUUAUUUAAUUUGCAGUUAACAUACUAAAAAUGGACGAUGUAAUUGAUUCGAUCACUUAUCCAUUCCAAGGUUAUGUAAUAUUCAACUUGAAUCGGAAGCUUUUUGAAAUUAUGUAUUAAGAUAUUCAGCUCCAAAUUGAUUUGAUUGGUUAGAGAGUUGUUGACAGAGCAGUAAUGGCGUCGGGGAAAAUGGCGAUAAAGGAUAUGUUGGAUUCUGUUAAUAUCUCGUGCUUUCUUUAUUUGUUCUCGCUCAAUAAAGGCUUACUAUUACUAUGAUGAGUUACUUACCUCUUCUUAUUUCAUCUUCAGAUAUCAGAAGAAGAAGAAGGUCCAGGAUGAAGAAGAGCAAAAGGAGGUCUUUUUUUAUUAACGAUUUCAUCGACAUAGCAAAAGGAAAAGAAAAACAUAUCCAGAACUUGUAUGAUAAAUACCUUCAAGCGAUCAAAUAACAUUGAGUGAAACAAGUAUGAAUUCUUGGGCAACCACAAGACUCCACCAGUGUGACAAACAGAGAAGCUAAAGGCUAUCAAUCUAAGAGAAAUUGUUUCAGGAGUGUUGGAAACUAGAAAGAUGAAUUUAAUGGAAAAGUUACACUGUUGGUUGUAACUGUCCUAGACGUUGAACAACUUGGAUUGGUCUCCCAUGAAUGGAUUAUGUCAUCUAUUUCAGAUUCUUCAUCACCAUGGGCUUCAAUAACAUUUCCACCAGAAGCGUUAAUCGACUCCAGCUCCAUUGCUACUUGUUUCAUGGUGGGUCUUUUCUUUCCAUUAAGAUUCAAGCAUCUUUUUGCUAGCAGAGCCACUACUAUAAUCUCCUUUUCUGGACCAUCCUUUACUACCAUUGGAUCGAGAAUGUUAAAUAAGGAAUUCUCCUGCAUUGACUGCAAAAAAUAAGAUACCAAGCUUCUCACUGACUCUGAUUGUUCCAGGGAGAUGGGUUUUUUUCCUGUUAAAAGCUCAAUAAGAACAACUCCAAAGCUAUAAACAUCACUCUUCUCUGUGAAUUGACUUGAUCGAAAAUAUUCUGGAUCCAUGUAUCCAAAAGUUCCUUGCACCCGAGUGGUUAGAUGUGUUUGUUCAAGUGCAACUGAUCUUGAAGUUCCAAAAUCUGACACUUUUGCCCUAUAUUUAUCAUCCAAAAGUAUGUUACUAGAUUUGAUGUCUCGAUGAUAAAUAGGAGCAGAAGCAGCUGAAUGCAAAUAGAACAAGGCAUUGGCAAUUUCAAUUGCAAUUCGUAAACGCAUUUUCCAUGUCAAUGGGAAUUCUUCAUUUUGGUUAUGAAUGAGAUCGUAUAAUGUACCAUUUGGGAUGAACUCAUACACCAAUAGAGGAGCUUCAGCCUCUAAACAACACCCUAAAAGCUUAACCACGUUCCUAUGAUUAAUUUGAGAUAAAAUUAUCACCUCGAUAAUGAACUGUUCAACCUUCUUUUCAUCAAAUUUCUUUCCUUCCACCAUUUUGGAUUUCUUAAUAGCCACAAUGCUUCCAUCUAUUAGCAUUCCUUUAUAAACAGUCCCUUGACCUCCUUGACCUAGGAUUCGGUUUUCAUUAUAAGAAUCAGUCGCCUUUUUCAUCUCUUUUGAAGUAAACAACUUAAUUUUUUCAACAUUACCUUCAUUGCUAGGCAAAUGUUGUUGCAGUAACAAACCUCCAUUCCUUUUGAAGUAUUUCUGCUUCAGCAAGAUUUUUUGUUUUCUUUUGAGGGCUUUGUACAGACUCCAUGUUGCGAGUAGUAAACGUAGUGUCCCAACACUAGUGCUGCAACCUAUAUAGAUAUAAGAAACAUAGUUAAAGGUGAAUUUGAAAAUUAAAAUACAGGCUAAAAACCAUGAAAAUGUUUCAAUAAAGUUUCAUUCAUAUUUGAUAGCCAUUCAUUUAAUGAACAAUGAGACAACCUUAUUACAUCAUUCAUUGUUUUCAUAUUGAAUUUUUACAAAUUUAAUGAUAAAUAACAGUUAUUGCAUCAUACAUUUAAAAGUAAAUAAAUUACUACUUAAAUUGACAUAAAUUAAAUAAUCAUAAUGAUUCCACUUUAAAAACAAGAAGUGUAAAUUCACCACGUACCUACAAUAAUGCUUUUCAAAUUACGAGUGUUUUUAUUUUGUACUUUGCACUCGCAAAGUAAUCCCGUACUAUUGUAUUCAUAACGAGGAGGGCAAGACUUUGACGAACAAUAGCUGUUAGGGGUAUUCAAGCAAAGUAUGUUGCAAUACUUGUAAUUAUCACAUUUCCCAUCUGUCAUUUAUGAAUUGAAAAAAAGAGAGGCUAUAAUCAGUUAAAGUAAUGAAUUAAAUUAUCCUUUUCUCCUUAUUCGUUAAAAUUAUCCGUAGAAGUAUUCUAGCAAUAUGUAUGCAUAACCAUUAUUUGAAAAAAAAAAUAUUUAAAACAUGAAAAACAAAGUUCAUUGAGUUGAGAUAUUAGCUAUCAUGAUGACUUUGUUCAAAUUUCAUUAUACGUACUCAUUUUUGUAGAUUUUACAAAAAUAUAAAAUGAAAAAAGAAACUUUUAUCAUAAUAUUAAAUUUUUUUAUAAAAGUAAUAGAUUUUCAUAAUUUCUCAAUCGAGUCGAGGCUCAAUUGAUGGGUGAUACCAAUUCAAUUAGCCCUUUAAAAAAUAAUACAAAUUUAAGGCACAUCCAUGAUGUGAGUGGAAAAAAUGAUGUAAUAAACAUAUUUAUUAAAAGCUUAUAUAAGAAUCAAAUGAAUUCUUGAUUGAAAUGAUAAAGUCAAAUUUUAAAAUUUAAUGUGUGAAAGGUUCAAAUCUCACCAUGUUAGGUUUAUUAUGGAUUUUAUAUAAAAAUGUAAAAAGAUGAGAAUACCCUUAAAAUAAUAUAACUUAAUUUGUAUAUAAAAAGAUAUUUUAAUAAAUUUUUGCCUGAGGUAUUAAGUAAAGAUAAUAUAGAUAUAAGAAAAAAGUUCCCUAAAAAUAGGUUAACUCAUACCUUUGCAUGACCUUGAAUAACUGAUAUCACUAGUAUCCCUGUAGCACGCACAUAGAUGAAUAGAGCUCAACCUCGACCAACAAUAUUCACCAUUGAAUGUACAAGAAGUGUCCGAACUAUCGUUCAAAUGGCACUCUCCAGAUAUUAGUGUGCUCCAUUGUAAUUGGAUUGGGACAUGCGUCCCAUUACUUAUAUCAAAAUCAUUGAGGAAAUUAUAGUCAUAAGAAAUCAAGGAAACAAAUUCGCAUGAUUUUUUCGUCCUAUAAUCACUAGAAUCAACCUUAGUGCUCAUGUGUUGCAAAGAAUGAACUAAGACCUUUAGGAAUAAUAAAAGGACAACCAAUAGAGGAAGUCUUGUUAUUAAUCCUACAACUUGGUUGCAAACAUCCGCUUAUAAAAUUAUCUGUUUCCGAAAAUAGUAAUCAAAUUACCACAACCUGAAGACCAGAAGUUGUUUCUAGAAUCUGAGUAGUAAAAACGGGUGCCUGUUAGGUUGAGACUCAUUCCAUUGUGAUGGUUUUUUCGACAGU